AUUGCAGGACUGCUCAAUAUCAGCUGCAGGAGGUACUAGUAGUGGUCAUGUUGGUGGAUCUAAUAAUAAUAUUGGUCACAACUUUGGAUCAUGGGUUGGUGUUGAUGCAUAUUCUUCACCCUACACUCUCUUUGACAAGAGAUCAUCAUCAAGACAAGUGUUUGGUGACCAAGAAAAUACGAUGGAUGAAGAAGAUCAUGAAUACCAAGAAAACCUGCAGGGUUCCCCAGAGAUUGAAACCCUCCCUCUCUUCCCCAUGCAUGGUGAAGACAUCCAUGGCUUUGGCAACAUCAAGUCCACCUCCGACGGCUACUACUCCGGCUGGUACCGCUCCGACGACGGCAACAAUGGCCGCACUUCCCUUGAGCUCAGCCUCAAUUCCUACGGCCACAUGACCCGUGAUUAUUUCAGAUCAUAUUAAUCAAGACCAGACUAAUUAAUUAGUAUCCCCAUGUUAAUGUUUAUGAUCUUAUAUCAGCUUGUAAGUAUCUGAAUGGCUACUACUAAUUAUGUUUGCUUAACUACUAUAUGUCAAUGGGUAUUUGACACGUGUCAUGCAAAGAACUUAAUCUGCUGAUGAUUAUCUUGCUUUUAACUUUUAGUUGUUCCUAUUCCCAAGAAUAUUCCAUGGUAAUUAUUUGCUAAUUAAGAUGCAUGGAGUCUCAAUAAUAUAAUAACAAUAAUAAUCCCAUGAUUCUUAAUUAAAAUGCAAGAACAUGAUCCGAUGGUGCAGAUUUUAACUGCUGGACGGUUUGCAGUCACCUUCAUUGGAUUAAAUAAUGCAUUAAUAAAAGGCCUGUUCAUUUUCAAGCACAUAAUAAUAAAUAAAUAAAUAAAAGUUAAAACUGCAGCUAGACUAGAGAGAUGAAGAAGAUCAAUUUUUGACUAGCUUGCUGUGCUAGCUGUGACGUCAUUUGUCGACAGAGAUUUUAAGUGUGGGGCCCUUGAACUUGAAGGGAACUACGGUGGGUUUACGUUAGGUUUUGGAGUUGUCAAGGUGGGUUGUGUUUAUGUUGUUCUGGUGGGUGUGGGCAACGGGCAUUGUCGAAAAGAUUUGCCAAUGAUAUCAAAUGGUGUACAAAGGAAAUAUAGAAAGAUAUGCUGUUAGGGCAACAAUGAUGAACGUGUGUGAAUGUAUUUUAUAUGCAGCCGUUUUUAUAAAGUAGCUGGGAGCUAGUGGUAAGUGCGAGGAGGAUAUAUUUUGAAGUUUGAACCUACUUUGGAAAUACCAAAAUAUUCUUCUUCUUUUCCUCUUUCUUUUUUGUAUAUAUAUAUAUAUAUAUAUGAUAUGAAGCAAGUUAUUUUAUAUAUGCAUUAAAAUAAAUCCAACAAUCAUGAAUAAUAUAAGUGUUGAAUCUUGGAAAGUGUUACAUUUCAUUCGUAAUGUGUCUUAUUUUUGACUUUACAUUAAAUUUUAUUAUUUGAAUUGAUGUUCAUGCCUUUUACUUAUUCAGUAUAAAAAUAGUAAGUUUCGAUGCCUAAAUAUCUCGGUAGGCUUCCCAGUCGGUUUUUCACGUUCAGUUAAUCAGUGAACUUUGGUAUUUCUAUAUUUUUUGCCAGCCCUAGCUUUGAGUAUAUAAAUAAAUGAUAUAUUUCUUAUACCAUUGGAUUUACAAUCACUUAGAACUUUGACGAGUGUAAAUGGCGUCUUCUUCACAUGGGUACGAAAUGAGUUAAACAAGCAGAAAUGAAAUGUGUGUACAAAUGAACGUGACAUGAGCCAUACGACACAUUCACAAAGACAUUCACCAACAGAAAAUAUAUUCACUCUCCAUCAGUCCAUAUACAAUCACAAUUGGGUUCAAUUUUUCUUGCGUCUGGUAGAGCUCAGCUUGUGGACAGCUCUAUAAAUGAGGUCCCCAUCAACAAGAUUUUGGGUGGAUGCAUUCCUUUUUCUGGUUUGACAGAAGUUCAAACUUUAUAGCUUAGGGCUGACCUUAAUUGUCGUUUAGAGCAUACAAAGCCUCAAGAGGGAAAAAAAUAAAAAAACAGAGAGCAUGAUCUCUUCGAAGAAGUAACUAACAGACAAUGCUUCUUGUUCCUGGUUGAUAGAUAUAAGAGAGAUUUAGGUGUGGAUCGAAGAAGAUCUUUAAAGCUUUCUGGGGCUUCAAGUACGUAAUGUCCCUUACCAGCAAAAUGAGGCAUGACAUACAUCAUGCUUUUCAGCCAAUUCUAUGUAAAAGCCUUCAAGGCCAUGGUCCAAGUUGGUUUGCUUGCCAUUUUCAUCGCAACUAUAUAUAUUGCGGUUCAAUAUUUUUUUACCUAUUGGUCCGCAUGGGUCCAUAAGACAUUUUGCUUUACCCGUACGUAUACUAUGUCCACUUACUCACAUUUCCAUAAUCUCUCCCACAUGAGUUUUAUCUUUAUCUUCUUCUCUUGGAAUGGAGAACUUCAGUAGUCUGACCAUAGCUUGAAUUUUAAGUGAAUCUCGAGUUUUUCGGGUGCGGAAUCCACACCAUUCACGGUUGUCGGUUCUCCACGCUUCAAUAGACUACUCUAUAUUGUUGAUAUGUGCAUUGUCUACACCCAUCAACGACUGUCAAUUACUAACGCAUAUAGGAGGUGGGCAUGGUUGCCAUACAGUAAUUCAACAUUAGAAAACGCCUAUUUUGGCACCAGUGUGACUGGCCUCCACCACUUGAUAUCUGAUCUGACAUUUCAUCUUCAUGAUACGAUUUACAAUCAUGGAACAUGCACACUAUGUAAAAUUUGGAAGUGAUAACUUUGUAAAAAAUUUACAUUUAGAUGCCUGACACUGACUUUACAAAGAGCAGGCCAUACGAUCUGGACCUUACUUGCAGAGCAUCUAUAAAUCCUUUAAGAAUCUAUAUUUUGGAUUUAAAAAGAAUGACUCAUAUGUUAGUACAAUUCUCUUUUUCUGUUCACGGGGUCCCAGAAGCAAGGCUGAAUCAUGACAAUAACUCUGGCUGUAACUUCAAGUUUCACUAACAAAUGGACAAUUAAAUGGCACUUUUGAACUGCUUUGCACUAGAAAUUAGGGGGGAGAUGACCGAAAAUUUCUACUUCCUUCCAACAUAAGCUCCCAAUUUAGACAAAUCUGGAAUCCAAAAUGAUAGCUCAGAAGAUCCAGUUGCAAACAUGAGGUUUCCCGGAGCCCAUUUGACAACAGGAGGUUCAUUUUCAGUGCUCAUCCAACUUGUGACCUGGAUAGGUUACAAUCAUUAAUUGUGACUUAGAAGCACAAGGAGAACAAAGAAAUACGAAUGGAUGAAGGCAGAAAAUUAUUUAUCAUACUUCUUUCCCACUCCGAACACUCCACGCAUAGACACUACCAUCACCUGAACCUGCCAAAAGUUUGGAAACCAAUAAAUCAUUUGUCUGCCAGUCCAGCCAGGUUAAAUUAUCAUGGGUGGAAUUCAGGGGUAUGCUAGGGAAAGCAGGUGUUUUUGGGUAAGUAUAUUGAAUAAGAUGUAUGCAUGAAAAUGAAACCACAGCAUUGAAGAAACUAUGCAUUUAAACAGCAAUCAACAAGAUGAUGUCCCAGAGCUUACUCACAUGACACAAGAAAUCAUAAGUGACAAUUAUGUUGGAAUUUUAUACCCACUCAGCACAAUAGGCACAUAUAAGUACAACAGAAAGAAAAAAUGAAACAGAAGACAUGCAUACCUGAUAUGACAAACAUCCCCUCUGGGCUGAAAGAAGCCUCUAAUGUUGAACUGCUGGAGACUGGCUUUACAUUAUAUGUGGAUAACUAAACAAUGACAAAAAAACCAUAUAGAAAGACUAAAUUAUGUAAAGGCUACCAAUUCAAGAAAUUCAAGAAAUUCAAGAAAUUCAAGAUGAUCUGAGUUGGUUGAGAGCAAACUUUUUCAAAUUAAAAUUGAGUUGUUGAGGAGAGCAACUUACAAGUGUGCCACGGAACGAAUCAAGAACAUGAAUAUGUCCAUCUGUGGUUGUUAAAAGCACAAGUCUCCCAUCGUUACUGAACUUUACAACAUUUGCAUCAGACAUAUCUCCCCCAACAGAAAAGAUAUCAAAAGGACCCUAACAAGAUGAAACAGUUUAGACAACCAGAUCAGCCAUGCUUACAUUGUCAUAUACAGAUAAAACAGUUUACACGGCUGCAAAAUUUCAAUUGCCAUAUGCACUGAAAUAUAAACAACUGACCUUUUCAUACUUGCGGGCAUCAAACAUUCUUAUGUAUCCACCAAAGGCAACUGCAAAAACUAGCCCUUGAUCAUCAUAAGUUGUGGCAGGCCUUCCUUGUACGCGUAAGAGACCCUAAAAUACGAACACAGAUUAUAAUCAUUCAAAGAAAGACAUGUAAUAUAAGAAACCCAACCCAAUACCCAUAUGCCAAGGCCCCUACCUGACACUUCUCAGCCCGUUGAUCCCAAAGCAGAACAGUUCUAUCAAGAGAACCGGAGAUGAAGCAGUCUUUGCGAGAACACAAGCUAAGUGAGACUACCCUAAACACAAAAGUUCAGAACCCAAUUUCUCCCAUUAGACAGAUAUGUUCAACUACUUCAGUACAACCCACCCACUUGAGUUUUAAAAAAAUGGCAAUAAUCUCAGAAACCAGACCUGUCAUGGUGGCCUUUGAAAUAACGCAAGUACUUGUUGUCAUGCAAUGAGAGAAGCCUCAAGGAUUCUGAAUGAACCAGUCAUAUAAACAACACAUUCUAAGUAUGCCACACAGUUGACAAACAUAAAUAUCAAACAUGGUAGUUGAGGUAAAGUGGAAGCAUACCAUCCCAGCCAUUUUUGGAAGAGUAUAUAACUGUGGUAGGAUGAGAAGUAAAGCAAACCAAAUCAACUCCAUACUUUUUGCUGUUGAUGGUCUUCAAGCAUGUUGCAGUGGAGACAUCAUAUAAACGAAUCGACUCAUCAUCACUAGCAGUCACUACAUAACUAGUCGCCUUGUGAAAAUCCAACGAACUAAUUCUACCACUCUGAGCAUAAAAGCAAAUACUCAGAUUCAAAUACACAAAGCUCGAAGAAAAUGGUAGUUUUUAUUUAUUUGUUAAAUGAUGAAAACAACCAGAAACAGAGAGAUAAAGUACUUACAUAGUCUCUAAAAGCUAACCCAACUUCCAUGCUUUGAAGAAUUUCCUCUGUCAGCUCCAUAGAGACCUUGUCUUCUCUUUCUGAAAUCCCUUCACAGCAAGAACAAAAAUAGUAAAUAAAAUCAGUAAUUCACUAAUUGACACCAAAUCUAAGCGAAAAAUGUAAAAAAUUUCACACCAGCCAUUGGGAAUCGGUUAAUAUGGUUCUGGGUCUAUCUCAUUCCGGGAAAUUGAAAAUUUCAGUGAAGCCCUCCGCCUCCUGCCUCCGUCUCCAACCUUCGGCAAUGUAGAUGAAAUAGACACAGGGUCGUUUUUCUUUUUCGUAAGCUCGCCAAGUUUGUCAUUGGGUGAGCUCAAGCCCAUAUAUGUGUUUUAUGGACUUUGGACCAGGUUUGUUAGCUCGUAUGCUUUUACUUUUUGGGUCGGAUCUUUUAUUGGCCCAAUGAAUUCUUCUUUAGUCCAUUUAUUUUUAUGGUGAUACCAAUCAUCUAAUUCAAUUCUCAAUAUCAAUUGGAUGAUUGGAUUUGAUUUGAUUUGAUUUGAUUGAAAACAUCACGAAUCUAUAUCUUAAAUAAAUUGAUUUAAAUUAUAUUACUUUCGAACCGAUGCACACCGUUAAAUAUCAUAUGAUAAAAAUUUUCACGAAUCUUAUACUUUCAUUGAUGAUGUUGAAUUUAUGAAAUUCUUUAACAAGUGUCAUUAGUAUGUAUCAAUUUAUAAACAAAGUGCUUUGAGGACCAAAGAUUUUUUACAAACAUUUUAUCUGCUUUUUCUUUUUUUCUGAUUAAAGACAAGCAUCUUAUCAUUGCAAAUUCGAUUCCAUAUGGAACAAACACCAUAUAUAUUGCGUUCUCAAGAAAAGAGAUAAACCACAUAUAUAUAUAUAUAUAUAUAUAGAGAGAGAGAGAGAGAGUUGUUCUCUACUACAGACCCGUAUUUUUUUUAAUGUCCAGACCACUUGUUCUUUUGCCUUCUUUGUGUUAAUAAAUCAACCCAAACACUUGUAUCACUUUUCUUGGUAAAGGUAGAAUAGAAACCAUGCUCUGUCAAUUCUUAAAAGUCAAACAUCAUCACCUCUAGAUUGGGCUUUUCUUUCAUUGGUGGACUGUAAAGAGAAUUUGGAGGCUGUUAUGUGUGCUUUAGUGCCUUUUUUUAAUGAUAAAGAAGAGAAAUGCAGAAAACAAAAUGGAAAUGGUUUCCUGAUCAUGUGAAAAAACAAGUGCACAUUAAGCAAUUCCGGACGUCCACACUAGAGAAUAGUCCUAUAUAUAUAUACAAACAGUUAUUAGGAAAGAUUUAGAUCAUUAAAUCAUUGAUAACUGGAAAAAAAAAAGACUGAGAAGCUUCUCAACAAAAAAAGAAGACAAAUUUAUGAAUCUGAAAUUAAUUCCCUGUAAAUGCACAUACCAAUUUACAAUUCACCCCUAACAAUCUCAACAAACACCCUCUCCCUCUGUAAGAAAAUCUAAAGAAAAAAAAAAACAAAGAAUGGCAUAAACUCAUGAACAAUAUACUCACACAAAUUCAAAUAUGAAAUAAAAACUAAUAAUUGCUAAUAUGUCACAUAACUAGAACUGGUAUAACCACGUCUCGAUCUGCCACGGCAUCAAUGGAGCUUACUAGAACUAGCGGAAGAGCCCCGGUUGCCGUCCUCCGGCGAAGCUUUUUUCUUGAUGAACUCGAUGCAAUCGGCUACUGCCUCGCUGUGGUGAGGGUCAUCAUGCGGACAAUAAUACCGCUGCGCAUCUGGGCUGGAUCGGCCAGCGUGGCUUGUGGACUUGUUGGAGGAGACAGCAGACAGCAUGAUCAAACGGAAAACCGCCUCGCGAAACCGCUCGAGCAGAGUCAUCGGAGACAGGCGUUUGGUUUUGUUGCUGCACGAGUUGACGUUGCUUCUCAUCCUGGGAAUGCAUAGAUGGGUUUUCAUAAUUUUUGCUUUUAGAGUUUCUCAAGGUUUUGGUGUCGUUUUGAACUAAGACAAUAUGAGAGAGGGGUCAAGGUGUUGCUCUAUAUUUUGAUAUGAGAAUCUAAUUGCGUUGCAUGGAACGACAACUCAGAUUUAUAUCUAUACAAGUUUGCUUUUUGGUUGGGUUUAAUACUACGCUAAUCACUUGUUUGAAUCUGCCAUAUAAUGUUUUUCAUGAUGCGACCGGAUCAUCUUUACAAAGAUUUACUCAAAUCAAUAAGUGUUUUCUUUUAAGUCGGUAAAUUGAAAAGAAUUUAGUUAUCUAGUUUUGUAAUAAAAUAAAUAAAUAAACACGGUAUAUUCAAUAAAUAACAAAAAUAUUCACAAUCAUAAUUAAAUGUCUUACGAUUUUUAAUUUCGAGAAAAUUUUAUGGGAAUGAUGCUUGAAUGAAGACUAAGCUCAAAUGAGUGAUUAGCACUAUAUGUAUUAAAUUAAUAAGUCGUUAGUUUGGUUACAUAUUUUAUAUUAAAAUUGAAGUAGACUUCAUAGCCAUGCAUGCAUGAUGCAUGUUACUAGUAUAAAUUUUUUUGUCUUCAUCGCUGCUAGGCUUCACAUGGCUACAUGUGCAUGGUUGUAUAAUUUUCAAUCAAACUAUAAGUAAUGUAUGGUUCCUAUUGGAUUCCGCCGACUUACCGCCCUGGAAAAAUGAAAGUAAAUUCUAUUGUUUUUAUGUGUGCCCUAAUGUAUUUGUUCCACGAAUUUGUGGGAUGGGGGAUGAAUUUCAAAUACAGAAUUGGGCAUGUGAGAGAGAUGGGGCAAAUUAAUUAUGGUACGUGGGGGUCAAUCUCCCCACCAUGCUUCGAAUUGGACUUGCUGUCGGUCUGUUUGUUUGCUCAUAUAUUAAGGGAGUUGUUGUGUUCACUAUAUCCAUCAUUUAAUUAAUUAGGGUCCUCAAUCGGGUCGUCCCGGGCCAUUUCGGGUCUAUACACCCGUGUUUGGGUUAGUCGGAUUCUUGUCGGAUCGAGAUUUAGCUUAUUGGGCUCAAGUAAGCUCAUUUUGAUCAUCGGUUCAAAAGAUGAUUUCUAAUGUGAAUGAAUGUAGCGAUAUAACAAAACUAUUUGUAUCAGAUCGAUUUGCAAUUUACGUUAUUUGUUAUGUCCCUUAACCAUUUGAGCUACAAGUCCCUUACAUAAUGAGAAAUGAGGAAUCGAACCUAGAACCUCAAGGAAAGGAAAAAUCCAACUUAAAACCUCAAGUACAUGAAUAAAUAUUCUUAACCAUUUGAACUAUAAUAUCCUUUCAUAACUUUACUACUUAUGCAAAUAAAGAUGUAAUGAAUAAAUACGAUACAUAUGUCAAUUAUUCUGGUGAUGGUUACAUUUUUCAUAGAGGUGAUGGGUAAUCAUCCAACAAAAGAGAUGGGGUUUGUGGGUUUGUAUGAACUUCAAUUCGGCCUGUACUCAUUGUAAACAGCAUACAAUGGCAAUGCUUCUGUGGCCCAUAUAACAACAUGUUUACAGAAUUCAUGUUGGGCGUAGGCCGAAGCCCGCCUUACAAAUUUACAAAAAUUUGAAGCAAUUUCCUUAUUUAUUAGAAAAAUGAGAGAGCCCAAAUAAAAGAAACAAGUGAUGCCUUAGCUCUGAUUAUUUCAAUAAAAUUGACUGUUAAUGGAAACCCUUUUGCAGGCUUCAUUUAUCAACAACAAACAUUCUUGAAAUGAAUAUAUUUACUUAAUAAUCUCUGCACAAUCUGCUCACGAGAGCCUCAGGCUCUUGGAGACCCCCCACCACCUUCUUGAAUUGCCUUGUUUUUGGCAAAAAACCACCCAACCAGAGGCACCAAUGGCUUCUUCUUGAUUUUCUUGACAGAAGGGUUUCCAACUCUCUCCCCCAAGUCUUCUUUGCUAACAAUGACUUGGGCCAGUGUAGGAGGACUUGCAAAUUUCACAUAUCUUUUCUUCUGCACCAAUUCCUCUGCGUCUUGGCUCAACAUGGUCUUGGUUUCAAACUUCGCGGCGCCAUCCUCAAUGAAUUUAAGGUCGUCUUCUUCAAUCUCAGGAUCAACUGGGUCCUUCUGAUCAAACUCUCUUGCCUUCAAGUACUUGUGCAGCUCUUUCUUUGCACGGUCAAGAUCAUCCCUUAGUGACUUUAUGCAGUAUGCCAUUAUCUUGUUUUCUUCUCUAACUUUCUGAAGAUUUCGCUUUGUUUCUUCAAGCUCAGCUUCCAAGACCCCAAUUGUUGAUUGAGCAGAAGCAGCAUGCCCUGCAGCUCCAAUCUAACAUAGAAAUUGAACAUUAACACUAGAAAAAAAAGAAGUAAAAAUGGUGUUGUGGUAGGAGCUAUAGCUAACCUCUUUGAGCUUGUUGGCAUAUAUUUCUCCAACCAAAACUCUUUCCCCAAACAACAAGACUGCUUCUUUGACUGAUUUGAAAGGUGCUCUGGUGUCAAUCUCUGCUCGGCCCAUGACCACCAAUUUGCCUUCCUCUGUGUUCAUCAUGCUCAAUCAACGCAAGGAAAGGGAAGAAGAUAUUAAUGGUGGAAUUAAUGAGGAAAGGUCCUUUUAAUACAAGUUUCAAAAUGGGGAGCUGCAAGAGAGGAGGUCGUUGGAAAUGGAUGGUGUGGUUCUAGCUUUGCUUAGAGGAAGUUAAGAAGAAAAAAAUAAUGGGGGGGGGGGGGGGGGGUUUUGUUUUGGUUUCCUUGGCGUCCACUUCACUGAAUUUUGUUAAUUGAAGUUGACAAGAGUGGUUGGACUAUCUUGAUCACUUUGUUACUUCUUGGCUUCUUGUUAGAGUUUGGGCUGCUUCCUUCCGUUACCAAUGUGGGUUAAACAAAUCAAUAAGCAUUAACAGCCAAGUAAUUGAUAGAUCACAAAUAUAUACCGCCAAUUAUUAGGUGUGAUGUGAAGUCUCAUGGUACUGCUUUGUCACUUCUUAUGGGUUAAGAGAUAUGGAUUAUGUUUGAAGACAUAAAUGAAGCAAUUGUUAUGAGUUAUCUGAUAAAUGUGGUUAUCCCUAAACUUACAUGUAUUCCAUGUAUGUAGAAGAAUGACUCUUGUGAGCUAUUCAAAAGGUCACUGCUGUUAAAAUAAUUGGAAUAUUUUAUUUUUAUAAAACACUUUAAACUACUUAACUUUAAAGUGAAGUAGGUUUUUUGUUUGAAAAAGCAAUCCCAAACAGAGCCUUAGUUUUUCAAUAUGUCCAUAAAAUUGCAAUGUGAUAUUAUCAAUUCAGUUAUGCUAUAUACAAAUAUAUAUGUAUUAAUAUUAUAUCUUCAAGUAUAAACAUGUCUCCUUCACAUGUUUAUAAAUUGAGUGAAUUAAUAACACUAAACUAAAUAUCUUUACUAUCAAUUUGGAAAUUUAAAAAUAUGGGAAGUAAUAAAUUGAUUUGAAAAGUCAUUCUCAUUAAACUGUUUACCAAUCAUAUAGAAUCAUAAUAGGAAUGAAGUUGAUUCCAAUUAUUACUAUUUACUAAUUCUCAUGAACCGAAACUCUGACUUUUAAAAUGGGACUUACAUUUGUUUGAUUCCCUAUGUGUUAGUAACGUGAAAAAAAUAACUGAUUGAAAUAAUUUCAUUUAUUCUCAUACCCAUUCCUAAUAAGUGACAGUGUUACAUUCAAACACAAAAACUUCUAUGUACACACGGCACUUCCUAUUUUUUCUACCCUUUUUCUCUCUCCAGCCACAGUGGAGAUUAGGCCGUGGUUCGUAAAAUAGUGAGGGUGUUAUUUUGAACACACGAGUCUGGCUGGAUACCACCACCAACAUCAAACACACAAGCCCGACCACCACCACCACGAGUUCCCGACCACCACACCAUAAGUCCACGAUCGUCUGCCCCUAGUCUAGUUGAUGGUUCGAUUGGGUCUGCCCCUAGUCUAGUUGAGUGAACAACCAUCCUCAUCUCAGGGCGCUCUUGGCCUCCGCACCCCAACUUUUAAGAGAGCCAUCCACUUUUGGUAUGUGGUGGAUGCAAACAAAACAAAACAAAAUUCCAAAUGAAAUCUUAAAUAGUGUGGCAUAAAGAGAGUGAAAAUGAGGGAAGGAAGAAGAAAAGAGAAAGGAAAGAAUAUGAAGAAAGAAAGAAAAAAGAAAUAGGGAAGGCAGAAGAAAAGAGGAAGAAAGGAAGAAGAAAAGACAAAGUAGAGAAGAGGUAGAAAGAUAAAAAAGGACACAAGUUUUAGCCUUUAAAAAAUAUUAGAAUUUUAUUUAUUUAUAGGUCAAAAUUUUUAAUUAAAAUUAAAUAUUAGAAUUUUAUUUGUUUUAUUUGUAUUUAUUUUUAUGUCAAAAUCCUUAAUUAAAAUUAAAUAUUAAAAUAAUUUUUUUUUUAGUCGAAUGCAACACCAAACGUAGGUCAGUAUUUUAAUCCAGUUUAAGCCAAUCCGAAAAGCUAAUUCAAGACAAUCUCAAAAUUUAAUUCAGUCCAUAAUAGUCCGUUGUACCAAACCCUCUGUAGGUGUGUGAUGAGCAGAUACUGGGUACAAAUAUAACUUCUCUCCUGGCCUUUUAUCUCAAUAGCAGGUUCCUAAACCCUUUGCAAAUAAAAUCAGCCCAAUAUCUCAAAAUCAGGUCCCUAAAUUAAAUUUGGGCCUCUAACGGUUUCAGAGUCCGUUAAACCACUCUAUAAAACGGCUUUCGUCCCUGAAAACCACUUAACGCAAUUCCCCCAAAAUCUCGAGUCCUCGAGGACACGAUGAGAGAAACAUAGAACACUGUCAGCGUAAAUAACAUAACAUAUAGAGAAAUUACAAGACCAUUUCCCGACCAUCACUCGAAAAACCCUAAUUUCCAACAUUGAAAGUCAAUUUCUCCUCCGUUUUAUCCGUACGAUCUCUUCCAUUUUAGACCAACAGCAGUAAGUAGGAGAGCUCCGGUUGCUUGGAGUGCUUCUUGAAGUAGAAGAAGAAGAGGCUGCAGAGUCGCGCCAGGAGCACUUUAAUCUGAGCAACCAGAGUCUUUGAAAUUUGGUUUCGAAGCUGUGCGUUUCGUGUUUUUCGCGGCAAAGCUAGGGUUUUUUGGUUGCUUUCUGCUUGUUCUACUAAGCCAUGAGUCCGGUUCAGAAUUUCGAGCAACACGCUCGGCGUCUCGUCGAGCUUGACCUCCGUACUUUCUCUCUCUCUCUCACUCUCUCUCUCUGAAGCAUAAUUCAACUAUGGUUUUGAACUCUUAAACCUCCCUUUAGCUUCUGAGCAAAAGUUAUAUAAUUUUGAUAAAAUUUAAUCAAACGAGCCCUUAAUAUGAGAAUCAUAUUCAUCUUCCUGUGCAAAAUAUUAAUUUAUUUUCCAGUAAUGCAGGUCCUAUUGAACCAAGCAUGUCCUUUGUAUUCACACCCAAUAGUAUAACAAAACAAAACAGCUCAAUUUUGAUUUGAUUAAUUAUUGAUUUAACUACGUUUGAACGAAGGUCUUGACGAUGUUCUUGUUUCUUUUGUUCCUUCUUAUUUGGAACAGCAAUUCAGACAAGGCUUCAGAUGGCAAUGGAGGUUCGGGACAGCCUAGAGAUUGCGCACACUGCCGAGUACUUGAAUUUCCUAAGAUGCUACUUUCAUGCAUUCUCAGUGAUUCUUCAGAAAAUUACAAAACCACAGUUCACGGACAAUCCCGAACACAAGCUCCGAAACAUCGUGGUGGAGAUUCUCAAUCGUCUCCCCCACAGUGAAGUACUCCGCCCUUUUGUCCAGGAACUCUUGAAGGUCGCAAUGCAAGUACUAACCACUGACAACGAAGAGAAUGGCUUAAUAUGUAUCCGUAUUAUCUUUGACCUCCUUAGGAACUUCAGGCCCACUCUGGAAAAUGAAGUUCAGCCAUUCUUGGACUUUGUUUGUAAAGUUUACCAAAACUUUAAGUUGACGGUUAACCAUUUCUUUGAAAAUGGGGCGGUGGGUGGGGAAGAUAUCAAGACUAUCGAUACUUCUUUAGAUCAACCAUUGAGUGGUAGUAUCGGCAGUAUCGGUGGUGGUGGAAUUGGGGGUGGCGGUAUUGGUGGUAGUGGGUAUGCUGGUGGUGGGCAGCUUAACCCCAGUACACGUUCUUUCAAAAUUAUAAACGAGAGUCCCCUGGUGGUCAUGUUUUUGUUUCAGUUGUAUAGUCGACUUGUGCAGACCAAUAUUCCUCACCUGUUGCCUUUGAUGGUUGCUGCUAUAUCUGUUCCUGGCCCUGAAAAGGUUCCUCUUCAUUUGAAGACUCAUUUUAUUGAGUUGAAGGGUGCACAGGUGAAGGUAAGCAGGUGUUUCUGUUGAGUUUAUAUGUAUUAAAUCUUACACGAGCAGGGCACUGUUGUUUGUUACACUUGUUUAAUCAUUUUCAUUUUUUUGUCCAACCUGUCCAGGUCUUUUCAUGAGUUUUUACUAAUUUGUUUCUUUUCCAUUGCAGACAGUUUCGUUUUUAACGUAUCUGUUGAAGAGCUUUGCUGAUUAUAUCAGGCCGCAUGAAGAAAGCAUAUGUAAAAGCAUAGUCAGUUUGCUAGUUACAUGUUCAGACUCUGUAUCAACUAGAAAGGUAAAAAUUAUUGUCUCUUAGUUUAUUUUUCUCCACUUGGAUCUUUUUAUUCUUCCGUGAAUGUAAGUCUGAAUCAUAAAUAUUUUAUGAAUACAGGAAUUGUUAGUAGCCCUAAAACAUGUUCUUGGAACAGAUUUCAAGAGGGGUUUAUUUCCUCUGAUUGACACACUAUUGGAGGAAAGGUAACACUGUUGACUCAAUCAUAUGGUGACCUCUAAUUGCCAAAACAAUGAUACAGAAAUUUCAUUGUCAAGCUGAGCUGGAUAAAUGCAAUAUCUUUAUAUAAUGUUGAAAAGAUAUUCUUGUUAGUAGUCUAAAAACAUGUUCUUGGAACAGAUUUCAAGAGGGGUUUAUUUCUUCUGUUAUGUAUUCAUGGUUAAACAAAAAGCAUCAUGUUGAAGAGAUGUAUAUAAAUCUGCUGCUAAUGGACAGAUGAAUACCAAAAUUUGACACGUAGUGUAGAUAAUAGAAUUACUCGUUUAAUUUUAUGGGAACUUUUGCCCCCACCUAAACGAUCCUUCUGCUGGAAAGUUCAUAUUGGUCGCCAUCAGAUUGAAAUAUUUUUUUGGCCGACAUGUUGAAUUUUAGAUUAAAAUAUGUUAAGAUUUUGAAUUUUAUUAGGGAAAGGGCCACGACAUGAUGGUUCUCCCCCCAAUCUGCUUCCCAUGUGAGCAGUUUUUUUUUAUCAUAUUUGUUGUUUUUGAUAAUGCACAACCUUCCAUUGGACAGAACUAUAGUGUUCAUUCCCACAUUUCUACUUUGGAGUUCUUCCUGACUUUUUAACUUUCAGAUACAAAUAAGAAUUAGCUAUUCCUCCUGAACUUAGAGAAGAUAGAAUAUUGUUAUAGCUGACUAUGCUUUGAUUUUUUUAGCCCUUUUCUUCUUUAACCUUUUCAGGGUUCUGGUUGGAAGUGGUCGAGCCUGCUUUGAGACAUUGAGGCCAUUGGCAUAUAGUCUACUUGCAGAGAUUGUUCAUCAUGUUCGUGCGGACCUUUCCUUGUCACAGGUAUUUCCUUUGUAUGAUAUCUAAUGUAAAACCAGUGUUAUCACUGUCUUGGCUUUGAUGAGGCUCAAUCCUAUUUAUCAUUAUACAACUUUCAUUCACUGUGUAUCGUACGGUUGUACAUCUUUAUCAUCAUCCUCCAUGGAUGAAUUUCAGGAAUUACCUAUGUUCACUUGAUUGUUGCACUUCUGCAAAGUGAGAGGAUGAUGAUGGUUUCGUAGUUGAUGGGUGGGAGUUUCGUGGUGAUGUUUGUUUUGCUAGUCUUGUGUCUGUAGUUGGUUUACCCUAUGUGUUGUGCUUAGUCUUAGGUGGACAGUUUGCCCAUCACUCUUUUACUUAGUUUCUUUGUUGUGAAGGUCAUUUUUCCUAUCUAAGAAAAGUUGAUUCAACCUGAAUCCUUAAAGGAACUUUCUUCAAGGUUAAGAUAUACGGCACUUACUGGUUGUCCUGCAUUAUGAUUAUGCUUUCAAAUAAGUCUUUUAUGACCCAAAGUAACCUUCCUUUUGUUGGAUUGAGAAAACACAGAGUCAAUCAAUUUCCAUGUCAUACAGGAGGGUAUAAUGCCUAUAAAGCUGUUGGAGAUCUGAGUGGCAAGAUUUAUACAGUUAUUCAUGCCCGAAGAGUCUUGCUACUACUGUAUUUCAAUUUUAUCCUCUUUAUCAUAUGCUUUUGUUGUUGUCAUGAUUUCUUAUCAAGUUUUUAUAAAUUUGAGAACUGAGGUAAAUACAUGAUACUGUUAGUAUGUACACUGAAAUUGGAAAUUAAAAAAAGGAAGCGACGAUGUCAAUCACAGGAAUUCGUAUGUUGUGGAUUACUUUUGAUUAUACUUCUUCUAUUUCAGGCUUUUAUUUGUUGUUUUCUCUUUAGGCGAUGAACUGCAAUGCUCAAUUUGGGCCUUCUAGAAGAAUAUAUGAAAGGAUAAUCAACCAAUUAACAAAAAGGCAUAAGACAAAGGAUAAUUAACUUAGUUACACAUACUUUGAAUUGUAAUUUAUCUCAAGUGUCAGCAUUUGCUUGUUUAACAGGUUUUUGUGUUUUUUAUUUUAUUUUUCCGUAAUGGUCAGUGGCUCAUUUGGCACUUUGUUUCUGUUUUAAUUUGAUUGCUUUAAAAUUUGAUUUUUGUUGAUGUGUAUCUUCACAGUUUUCAUCAUAACUUAAAUUAUCUUCUAACAUACUUACAUUAUGUGCUGCAGUUAUCCCGAAUCAUAUACUUGUUUUCGAGCAACAUGCAUGAUGCUUCAUUGUCACUGAGCAUUCAUACUACUUGUGCUCGCUUGAUGCUGAAUCUGGUGCAUAUGCUGACUCUAUUCUUCAAGAGAUUUUGCAGUUUUUAUUUUCAUUUGGGUAUUCAGUUAUAUUUAUAAAUUUGUUGGUACACAGGUGGAGCCAAUAUUUGAGAAAGGUGUCGACCAACCAUCUAUGGAUGAAGCACGGAUUCUAUUGGUCUGAGUUGCAAUCUAACUGUUUGCCUAGAAUGGUUUGAAUUGGUAAACUUUAUGAGUUUUCUCUUUCCUUUAGCUUAUAAAUUAUUAUGGUUCUUUGAAGGGGCGUAUAUUGGAUGCUUUUGUUGGAAAAUUUAGUACUUUCAAGCGGACUAUUCCUCAGGUAAUCUUUGACUGCUGUAGAUUUUCUCAACUGCAAGGGUCUCUUCUUUAUUUGAUAUUUUUGUUUCAUGUGGAAGCUUUUGUCUCGUCAUAUGGGCUAUGUAUUAGGAAAUAUUUUUGCUAACCACUUUAACCCAAGGUCUAUUAUCACCACCUUCUUAAUGCUUGACACAUGUCCAUAGGCAUAACCAUGGUUAACUUUUUACUUUGUAUUUAUGGAACCAUGGUUAUGCAUAUGGACAUGUGUCAAGUGUUGACAAGGGUGGUGAGGAUACACCUUGGGUUGGGUUAAAUUGGUGAGCAAAAAUGCUCUCCUAUGUAUUAUACAUAUAUAUAUUGUCUUUGUAUGGUUUAUGUUCUGCAGUAAAGGAGUUUUAUGUUACAUGUCAUAUUGUCUGUAGCUCAAAUAAUUAUCUUCUUGUUUUCCGACAAUGUAUUGAAAUAAUUUGGUUAAUUAUGUAUCGGGAAUGGUUGGUAGUCAAUUGACUGUUAUUAAGAUGCUAUUGGCUUUUGAGGUUCUUUGCAUUUGCUGAAAUCCAUCUUAUCCAGAUGCUAAUGAUCUUGGUUGAUUGAUUGUUGUAUCUUGCUUAUUUGUUGAUACUGACGUGUCUCUGUAUUUCCUGAUAGCUGUUGGAGGAGGCUGAGGAGGGAAAGGACCGUGCUACUCUAAGGUCAAAGCUUGAGCUCCCUGUGCAGGUAGUUUUGACAACUUCUCUUUGAGAUUACUGUUUGUGUAUGCAUAAUUUGUUUUAUGGUUUCUAGUUGUCCGUUUAAUUUUUUCUUGUACUCUCCACCUUUAAUUUUUUUAAUGCUAAAGUACAUCCUUUUUUUUUUUCUUCUAAAUGCUAACUGUAGAUUAUUCCCUAUGUUACACUUUAAAAGGUCAUAAAAAUGGUAUUAAAUAUGUUCAUCAUUGAGGAUUAAGCCGGUGGAUUUAUAAGUACUUUUCAGUUGCUCAUGGAAUCUAAAAGCCUAAAAGCCUUCAAUUUCCUUUUUAAAAUUUUCUGCAACUAUAAAGACAUUCGAGAAGGACGUUGCAGGUUUUGAAGGGUUUAAAAUACUGCUGACAUUAAUGCAUCUAUUAAGAAAGUUAGAUUGACAUUCCUUUUGAUAUGGAAGAAAAUGUAGACAUAUUGGGUGUAUUAGAAGAAUAACUUGAAAAUAGAUAUCCAUGCUUUGAAGUUUGUCUACUUACUUUUUGUCCAAUUCUUUAAUUGCUUGAUUAUAUAGCCACCCCACUCCCUUUCAUAAAACAUGGCAUUUAAAAAUAAAUAAAUUCUUUGGCAUAUCAUUUGUUUGCAGGCAGUUUUGAAUUUGCAGGUCACUGUCGAACAUUCUAAGGAAGUCAAUGAUUGUAAACAUCUGAUUAAGACAUUGGUCAUGGGUAAGUGAUCCUUCGUGUAAAUUUUUUUUUUCUGUGUCUCCACUUAUAGAUUAUAGUAUUACUUGUUUAAGGAAUCUGUGAUUUUAAGUUUCUUACACUUCUGAUAUGUUCUUGAGUGGUAUUGCUAAUUUUUUUUUCCUUCAUGCGCUGAUCAAUCUGUGCUGCAUAUAUUGUCAGGAAUGAAGACUAUCAUAUGGAGUAUUACCCAUGCACACUUGCCGCGAUCACAGGUAUUAUUAACUAUGUCAAUAGUUUGUUCUGACUUGCUUAACAUUUGUUAUCUUAUGCGACAUUUCUGAUGGUUUAAGGUUUCUGCUUCCACCCAUGGAACACACCCACAGGUGCUUGUUUCACCAUCAUCUAAUUUACCAGCGCCUCAAGCAUUUAAGGGGAUGCGAGAAGAUGAGGUAUUUUCAGAUUGAGUUAUGAAUUUUGGGGUUUGUUUUGUGGUUUGAUUCACUUGGUCUGACUUUGGUCUUGGGUAGGUUCGGAAGGCUUCUGGUGUUUUAAAGAGUGGGGUGCAUUGCUUGGCUCUCUUCAAGGAGAAAGAUGAGGAGAGGGAUAUGUUGCAACUCUUUUCCCAGAUUCUGGCUAUCAUGGAACCUCGAGAUUUAAUGGACAUGUUCUCGUUAUGUAUGCCUGAGCUUUUUGAGUGCAUGAUUUGCAACAACCAAUUGGUUCACAUAUUCUCUACACUUCUGCAAGCCCCUAAAGUAUAUCGGCCUUUUGCAGAUGUUUUGGUUAAUUAUCUUGUAAACAGUAAACUUGAUGUUCUGAAGCAUCCAGAUAAACCUGCAGCAAAACUAGUAUUGCAUCUCUUUCGGUUCAUAUUUGGCGCAGUUUCAAAGGCGCCUUCAGAUUUUGAACGUAUUUUGCAACCUCACGUGCCUGUUAUAAUGGAAGUUUGCAUGAAAAAUGCUACUGAAGUUGAAAAGCCUCUUGGUUAUAUGCAACUUCUUCGCGCAACGUUUCGAGCACUGGCUGUAUGCAAAUUUGAUCUUCUUAUGAGGGAUUUGAUUCCUAUGUUACAACCUUGUCUUAAUAUGCUGUUGAUGAUGCUUGAGGGUCCAACAGGGGAAGAUAUGAGCGACCUUUUGCUGGAGUUGUGCUUAACCUUGCCUGCACGCUUAAGCUCAUUGUUACCACACCUUCCCCGUCUUAUGAAGCCUCUUGUUUUGUGUCUUAAAGGAAGUGAUGAUCUUGUGGGCUUAGGUUUAAGAACACUGGAGUUUUGGGUAGAUAGUUUGAAUCCUGAUUUCUUGGAACCUAGCAUGGCUAAUGUAAUGUCUGAGGUGAUUUUGGCCCUAUGGUCUCACUUGAGGCCUGCUCCCCAUCCUUGGGGUGCAAAAGCAUUGCAACUCCUUGGCAAGCUAGGAGGUCGUAACAGGCGUUUUCUGAAAGAGCCCCUUGUACUUGAGUGCAAGGAGAACCCAGAGCAUGGACUCCGUGUGAUUCUUACAUUUGAGCCUGAAACCCCAUUUUUGGUGCCAUUGGAUCGAUGCAUUAAUCUUGCUGUGGUAGCUGUUAUGCACAAAAAUGGUGGAAUUGAUACUUUCUAUCGAAAACAGGCUUUGAAGUUUCUUCGUGUUUGCUUAUCAUCUCAGCUUAAUUUGCCAGAAAAGUUUACCGACAAUGGAUGCACACCUAGUCAGUUGUCAACUUUGUUAGUUUCUGCAGUUGAUUCUUCUUGGCAGCGGCCUGAAACAUCAGGAAUAAAGGUUGGUUUGGUUAAUGUUAUUACUUUGUAAAGUGCUGAAUGCUGAGCCUGCUAGUGAUUUGAACCUCAAGAUAAUUUUAUUUAUUUAUUGCCUUUUAUUGUAAUUUUAUUCACUGUUGGCUUUGAAGUUGGAAAAAUGAUGCUCGAACGUUGAUAAACAUUUUUGGGAUCCUGUUAUUGGUCUGCACCGUGGGUCCAUCUUUGUUCUUUAGCACUUUACCUAGAACAUGCUACGAGUUAAUGCACAAGUGAACUCCAUGUAUUAGAAUAUACCUAUGUGGGUAUUAAUUAUCUGUAUUACACCUUGACUUUUACACCUUAGUUUAUUAUGUCUCAUCUUUUAGAAACUUUAUUGUCCAGAUAUUUCCCCCCCUUCCCCCGACCAAUUAAAAGUAAUAAUAAUAAAAGAAUAAGAAUACUCUGUUAAUGGUUAGAUGCAUUUUAUUUUCUUAUUGUCUGUGGCAAUUUAUUUUCUUAACCUGUCCUUUAAUUUUCUUCCCGCUGAAUUUUUGUUUUCAGAUGCCCCACAAUGGGAAAUAAAAUAGAAAAAUAGUAUUACGUUAUAAUAAAUUUAGACAUAAUUGCAGGCUGACUUAGGUGUAAAGACGAAGACCCAACUUAUGGCUGAAAAGUCAGUUUUCAAGAUUCUCUUAAUGACUGUUAUUGCUGCCAGCGUGGAACCAGAUUUCCAAGACCCCAAGGAUGACUUUGUUGUCAAUGUAUGCCGCCAUUUUGCAAUGAUGUUCCAUAUUGAUUCAUCCUUAACAAAUACUGCAGUUGCAACUGCUACACUUGGGGGCCCUAUGCUUUCGUCAAAUGCCAAUGUUGGUUCCAGUUCCAGGUCAAAGAAUAGUAGUUCAUCAAACCUCAAAGAGUUGCACCCUCUGAUAUUUUUAGAUGCUCUAGUUGAUGUGCUAGCAGAUGAAAACAGGCUCCAUGCCAAGGCUGCACUUAGUGCUUUAAAUGUUUUCUCUGAGACACUUCUUUUUCUUGCUCGCUCAAAGCAUGCUGAUGUGCCAAUGUCAAGAGGCCCUGGUACUCCAAUGAUGGUCUCUAGUCCGUCAUUGAAUCCCGUAUACUCUCCUCCUCCAAGUGUUCGCAUCCCUGUUUUCGAGCAACUUCUGCCCCGUCUUUUGCAUUGUUGCUAUGGGACAACAUGGCAAGCGCAGAUGGGAGGUGUUAUGGGACUUGGUGCUUUGGUUGGAAAGGUUACUGUUGAGACCCUGUGCCUUUUCCAAGUAAGAAUUGUGCGUGGUUUGGUAUAUGUUCUUAAAAGGCUUCCUAUUUAUGCUAGCAAAGAGCAAGAAGAGACGAGUCAGGUGCUUACACAGGUUCUUCGCGUAGUUAAUAAUGUUGAUGAAGCAAACAGUGAACCACGCCGGCAAAGUUUUCAAGGAGUAGUUGAUUUCCUUGCUACAGAAUUGUUUAAUCCAAAUGCAUCUGUUAUCGUCAGAAAGAAUGUGCAGUCAUGUUUGGCACUUUUGGCUAGUAGAACUGGUAGUGAGGUAUCUGAGCUGCUUGAACCAUUAUAUCAAAAUUUGCUUCAGCCUCUUUUGGUGCGAUCACUCCGGUCAAAAACUGUUGAUCAACAGGUAAUCUAUGUUGCUAAUGGUCAUUAGUGGGAUGUGUUGAAUUUCUUUUUGACUUGAUCUGGUGGUAUACAGGUGGGAACAGUUACAGCUUUAAACUUCUGCCUUGCCUUGAGGCCACCUCUUCUCAAGCUGACUCAAGAAUUGGUUAAUUUUCUCCAAGAAGCAUUGCAAAUAGCUGAGGCCGAUGAAACUGUAUGGGUUGUGAAAUUUAUGAACCCAAAGGUGGCAACAUCACUAAACAAGCUUCGAACAGCCUGCAUUGAGCUACUCUGUACUACUAUGGCGUGGGCAGAUUUCAAAACUCCUAAUCAUUCAGAACUGCGUGCAAAGAUCAUUUCCAUGUUUUUCAAAUCUUUGACAUGUCGAACACCUGAAAUUGUUGCUGUGGCUAAGGAAGGCUUGCGACAGGUCUUGUUUCCUUUUAAAUUAGUCAAUCUAUAUGGUUUUUGCUCGUCUUACUGUAAUACAUGUCUGAAUGUAUAAUGAUCGAUGACUAUGAUGAUUAUCCUAGGAAAGCACUGGCCUCUGUUUUUAGGUUUCACAUUAGGGAUCACUUAUCGUAGCUUGUCUAUUUGACUGGUGAUGUUACUUAUGUAUCAUGUUUUGUUUUGGUUUGUUAAGACAUGGUGGAUGAUUUAUAAAGUUGGGGUUUUUUAAGAAGUCUUUUUAUUAUUUUUAAAUGUACUCUAUUCCAUUUCUUAUGAGAAAACAAACUCUACUCCAUUGCCAUGCAGGUUAUUAAUCAGCAGAGGAUGCCAAAAGAACUUCUGCAGAGCAGCCUCAGGCCUAUUUUGGUGAACUUGGCACAUACGAAGAAUCUGAGCAUGCCUCUUCUGCAAGGUCUGGCCCGUCUUCUUGAACUUCUGUCCAAUUGGUUUAAUGUUACCUUGGGCGGCAAAUUGCUGGAACACCUAAAGAAAUGGUUAGAGCCUGAAAAACUUGCACAAAGCCAGAAAUCAUGGAAAGCUGGUGAAGAGCCCAAAAUUGCAGCUGGUAAUAUAUUUUUGGUUGUCCACUUUUGGUCAUCAGUUCUUGUAUACCUACGCAUACGCAUGAUUACAGAUGAUAUGAUGUCAAAUUUGUGUUCUUUUCAGCUAUUAUCGAGCUUUUUCACCUUCUUCCUGUGGCUGCAUCAAAAUUCCUUGAUGAACUUGUAACCUUGACUAUAGAAUUGGAAGGAGCACUUCUUCCGGGACAAGUAUACAGUGAGAUUAACAGUCCAUAUCGUCUUCCACUGACAAAAUUUUUGAAUCGCUAUGCAACACUUGCAGUUGAUUAUUUUCUUGCUCGCUUAAGUGAACCAAAGUACUUCAGGAGGUAAUGUGUGGAUGCGAUAUACAUAUACAUAUAUAGUUAUGACCUCUUGGCCAUCAUUAACCAUGAAAUCCACGGUCACUAGCAGUUGGAUCAAAAUAUGAUGGUUGACAUUAAUUCCCAAAAGUAAAAUACUGGACUUAAACAAAUUUGAAUGCCAAUUGUUGAAUUUUGAUCCAGCGGUUGGUGUCCAUGGACGUUUUCAUGGUCAAUGGUGACCAAGUGAUCUAAAAACUCCCUGCCUCUAUAAAUAAAUGUGUAUGUCUAAAUAUAUUGAGAGAUGUAUUUAUCCUAUCAUUAUGAUGAAAUUUUCAAAUAUGUAUAAAUCUCAUGGAAUUUUGUUUCUAAAUUGCCAAUUCCCUUUAGAUGCAUUUAUUUGAUUUUGUCAUAUAAUCUAUAGGUUUAUGUAUAUAAUCCGAUCGGAUGCUGGCCAGCCUUUGAGAGAUGAACUUGCUAAAUCACCACAGAAAAUACUUGCAAGCGCUUUUCCUGAAUUUUUGCCAACUGCUUCGGGAUCGUCAACUCCUACCGCUUUGUUGGGUGAUGAAGGUCUUGUUAAGCCUGUACCUGAUAGUUCUAAUCCACCAUCUGCACAUCCUGGUGCAACACCAGAUGCUUAUUUUCGGGGACUUGCACUUAUCAAAACUUUAGUCAAAUUGAUACCUGGCUGGCUACAGAGUAACCGAAUUGUGUUUGAUACCUUGGUACUUGUUUGGAAGUCACCUGCAAGACUAUCUCGUCUACAUAAUGAACAGGAGCUGAACUUAGUGCAGGUUAGUUUAGUGGCUUGUUAUACAGAAGCUGUAUACUUUCUUUGUUGGUUAUCUUUUGGGUAAUUUUUUAUUUUUUGAAAACUAGCAAUACUAUUGGGUAAUAUUAAGAUAGGGGAAACCCACCGACUUUGUCUCUUAUGCAAAUUAUGUGACCUUUUGAGAGUUUAAUUUCUUUUUUUUCCCCCGAUUACUUCUUGCUGUUUGGAGUGUUGAUGCAUGUUGAAUUUUGCUUGUUGAAAUAUCAAAUAUCACUUUUGACUUGCUGUUAAAUUUUAUAAAUUUCUCUCCGUUAUUCUUUAACUUUCUGUGUGUAUCAAUUAAUAUGCGUCAUCAGAUCUUGUUUGUUUUCUAAUGUUUCUAAAAUGCAGGUUAAAGAAAGCAAAUGGCUUGUCAAAUGCUUCCUGAAUUAUUUACGACAUGACAAAACAGAAGUGAAUGUUCUCUUUGAUAUACUCUCCAUCUUCUUGUUUCAUACUCGAAUUGAUUUUACAUUUCUGAAGGAGUUUUAUAUCAUCGAGGUACUUUGAAUACAGGUUCUUUAAAUUUACGUUGUUUUUAUGUUAUUUGUGUUGACUGUUUGUGAAACAAUCAUCGUCUCUUUUCAGGUUGCAGAAGGAUAUCCACCGAACUUUAAGAAAGCACUUCUCUUGCAUUUUCUAAAUCUUUUCCAGUCAAAACAACUUGGCCACGAUCAUCUGGUGGUUAUUAUGCAAAUGCUCAUUCUUCCGAUGUUGGCUCAUUCCUUCCAAAAUGAUCAAAGUUGGGAAGUUGUUGACCAAUCUAUUAUAAAAACGAUUGUUGAUAGACUUCUCGAUCCUCCAGAAGAGGUAUACUUUUUGAAAGAAUUAAAUGUCUCCAGCGCCCCUAUAUCUUAUCUUAUUUUCUUGGUGCUGUUUUUAAAUUGUCCCUAUAUUUUGGGCUGAAGUUCAUUUUGUUUCUAUAUCUUACCAAUUUCGUACUUCCAUAGGUUUCUGCUGAAUAUGACGAGCCCUUGAGAAUAGAACUUUUGCAGCUUGCCACUUUGCUUCUCAAGUAUCUGCAGAAUGACCUUGUCCAUCAUAGGAAAGAACUUAUCAAAUUUGGUUGGAAUCAUCUCAAACGCGAAGAUAGUGCCAGUAAACAGUGGGCAUUUGUAAAUGUUUGCCACUUCUUGGAGGCCUAUCAAGCCCCAGAAAAAAUCAUACUCCAGGUAUGGCACAUUAUGGACAUGAUAUCAAUUUGAAUGUCCUGUUGGCACAAGGUUUUAACCUGUUAUUGGCAUUAAGUUUUACUGCUUUGAAAUUUAGGUUUUCAUGCUGUAUUUGUCAUGUAAAAAGAUCUCAGUUUUUGUGUUUAUUAUUUAUGCUGACACAAUUUUGCUUGGGAAUGGGAAUGACAUCAAUACUUUAAUUCAAAGCAAUUUACCAAAUAUUGGAUUGUUAGAGUGGUCUAUUUAUACUUGUUCUCUGUCUAACUGGAGCCCAUGAGCAUGUGAUGAGAGCACUCACAACCCAAAUAUGCUCAUAACUUUGGGUUCAAAUUGAGUAAUUUAUUAAAAUGAAAGUUAUCUUAAUUUAGUAUCUGGGCGUUGAUUUGAGAAUGCAGGUUUUUGUAGCGCUUCUGAGAACUUGCCAGCAAGAGAAUAAAAUGCUGGUCAAGCAGGCCCUCGAUAUACUAAUGCCAGCACUGCCACGUAGGUUGCCGCUUGGAGAUUCUCGCAUGCCAAUUUGGAUACGGUACACCAAAAAAAUUUUGGUCGAGGAAGGCCACUCAAUCCCUAAUCUGAUUCACAUCUUCCAGCUUAUUGUGCGCCAUUCAGAUCUCUUUUACAGCUGUAGAGCUCAAUUUGUACCUCAGAUGGUCAAUUCUCUUAGUCGCCUUGGAUUGCCUUACAACACUUCUGCAGAAAACAGGCGUCUCGCAAUUGAACUUGCUGGCUUGGUGGUUGGCUGGGAAAGACAAAGGCAAAAUGAAAUGAAAAUAGUAGUGGAUGGUGAUGUCACCAAUCAGAACAGUGAGGGUUUUAAUCCAGGCCCUGCUGGUGCUGAUCCUAAGCGCUCUGUGGAUGGGUCUACAUUUCCUGAAGAUUCAACGAAGCGUGUCAAAGUUGAACCUGGUCUUCAAUCCCUCUGUGUGAUGUCUCCUGGUGGUGCAUCAUCAAUACCUAACAUUGAGACCCCUGGAUCUGCUAGCCAACCUGAUGAAGAAUUCAAGCCAAAUGCUGCUAUGGAGGAAAUGAUUAUCAAUUUCCUUAUAAGGGUAAAGUCCUUUCAACUCAUUACUCAUGUUUUCAUGUAUGAGCGAGAUUUUUUGAAAAUACUUUAUCUUUGUAUUCAAUACCUCAUUAAUUUGGCGUAUAGAAGAAACCUCUAAGCUUUCUGGCGGUGAUGCUCUCCAUCUUGGCACUCCUUCCAUGGAUGUUUUAGACAAAGAAAAAAGAUGACUGCUAUCUUAGACUUUGGCAUCUUUUACUCAAUAAAUAAUUCAAUUUUGUUCUAUGGUGGUUUUUGUUUCUCUAGGUUUAUAGUACAAGUGUUAUAUGUAAUUGAAGAGGUAAUUUUUCAUUAAGUCGCCGAUGAUGACAGUCUCUGUACUUCUGUUUGUAGUUCCAUGUUCUGCAUCAAAGCUUGUCAUGAUUUGUUCAUUUGAUGGUUAAUUGUCUCAGCACUUUAUUGACUUUUGGAAACAGGUUGCCUUGGUCAUAGAGCCUAAGGACAAGGAAGCAAGUACUAUGUACAAACAAGCUUUAGAGCUACUUUCACAAGCUUUGGAGGUGUGGCCAACUGCCAAUGUUAAGUUUAAUUAUUUAGAGAAGUUGCUAAGCAGCAUUCAACCUCAGUCCAAGGACCCUUCCACAGCCCUCGCGCAGGGCUUGGAUGUUAUGAAUAAGGUCCUAGAGAAGCAGCCACAUCUAUUCAUCAGAAAUAAUAUCAACCAAAUUUCUCAGGUAUGUUCUUACACUGUCAUCUGUUUUUCAUUUUCACAAAGUCUACUAUUACCUAGACUUAUGCACUCAACUUCAGUUGUGUUGGUUUUUUUUUUGGACAGAUUCUUGAACCAUGUUUCAAGUAUAAACUGUUGGAUGCUGGAAAGUCAUUGUGCUCCCUGUUGAAAAUGGUCUUUGUUGCUUUUCCUCCAGAAGCAGCUACUACACCACAAGAUGUGAAGCUAUUAUAUCAUAAGGUUGAUGAACUAAUACAGAAGCACAUCAAUACUGUUACAGCUCCUCAAACAUCGAGUGAAGAGAGCACUGCUAAUUCAAUUAGCUUUGUGCUGCUUGUGAUUAGAACCUUGACAGAGGUGCAGAAGAACUUUGUUGAUCCUUACAUCUUGGUUCGUAUUCUUCAACGCCUGGCACGGGAUAUGGGGUCAUCCGCAGGUUCUCAUUUGAGACAAGUAUGUAUCUGUUUUCUCAUAUGUUUACCUCUUUCAUGUUUCAUAAAUUAAUGCUUCAUUAAGGUGAAAAUUUUAUUUGAUUCCUGAUCUUUUUUCUUUCUUAUUUCUCUUUGUUUGCCUUGCUGCUAUGUGGAUUACGCUUCCUAUUCUGUUCAUAUCAGGUGUCAUCAAUGUGCUUUUCUUUGUUUCUUCUUGUUUGGUCACUGUUUUUAAAACACAGCAUUGUGUUCUCUAUUCUUGGUGUUUGAAUUUAGAUUUUCUGUUGCAUGCAAGUAGUGGGACGGUUCUAUAAACUUUAUUUGUGUGCAUAACCAUUUAAGAUACAAAGUAUAUCUUUUCUCUUUGUUUUUCCCCUGUUGUUUUUUUGGUUGUGGGUGUAUGAUAAAAGUUUAAAGUCAUCACAUACAAUUUGCUACAUUAGAAAUAUUCUUAGAAAGUUACAUUUAUAUGUAUGAGGCAAACUUUACUGCUAAAGUUUGAUCGAGUUUUGUACAAUAAGGCUCUGAGGCUUCAUUCAAGGGUAGAACCAUGACAAAAAAUCAACCCAAGCACACAUGUGAUUUGACAUAAUUGACCUUUGUCUACUGAUUCUUUUUUUCUUUUCAACUAUAGAACAAACUCUCGUCUGUGAGAUUUGAACUCAGGCCAUCAAGGUAGAGACAAAUGCCACUAACUAAAUGGUCAUUGUUAAUCUUAUUCUACUAAAGAGGGCGCUGGUUUUAAGUUGUACUGUUUAAUUUUUUAUGUUCAGCCCCCGUAAUGGACUUAUUUCAUCUAGAAGGGUUCAAUACACUUCCGUUUUUUUCCAAAUGAUUAUAUUUUGGAAUGAACAUUUGUGUUUAUAGUUUGUUUUAUGAUGUUUUAAAAUUUGAUAACAUCCCUUCUCUCUUUCGUUGAAUUAUAUAUAGCAAAAAUUGUCUUCUUUCAGGGUCAGACAAAAGAUCUAGAUUCUGCAGUCUCCUCUUCUCGUCAAGGUGCCGAUGUUGGAGCAGUUAUUUCUAAUCCGAAAUCUGUGAUAGAUUCUGCAGUCUCCUCUUCUCGUCAAGGUGCCGAUGUUGGAGCAGUUAUUUCUAAUCUGAAAUCUGUGCUGAAACUUAUUAGUGAAAGGGUCAUGAUUGUUCCAGAUUGCAAAAAAUCUGUAACUAACAUAUUGAAUACCUUGCUUGCUGAGAAAGGUACUGAUGCUACCGUGCUGCUUUGCAUACUUGAGGUAAUAAAAGGGUGGAUUGAAGAUGACUUCGGAAAGCCAGGCACAUCUGUCAGUUCAAAUGCUUUUCUCACUCCGAAGGAAAUAGUUUCCUUUCUUCAAAAGCUUUCACAGGUUGAUAAACAAAACUUCUCAAAUGCUCUGGAAGAAUGGGACAGUAAAUAUCUUCAGCUUCUCUAUGGAUUAUGUGCAGAUUCAAAUAAGUAAGUAAUAUACUUCAGUUCACUUUUGUUAUACUUGAAUAAAAGGAGAUAAUUAAAUGAUUUGAUCAAUGUCCAGAUAUCCCCUAUCCCUGCGUCAAGAGGUGUUUCAGAAAGUGGAAAGGCAAUUCAUGCUUGGUUUACGGGCAAGAGAUCCUGAAUUCAGGAUGAAAUUCUUCUCGCUUUAUCAUGAAUCUCUUGGGAAAACAUUGUUUGCUAGGCUUCAGUACAUUAUUCACCUCCAGGAUUGGGAAGCCUUGAGUGAUGUCUUCUGGCUCAAACAGGGCCUUGAUCUUCUUUUAGCAAUCUUAGUCGAGGAUAAAGCUAUUACUCUUGCUCCAAAUUCUGCAAAGGUGCCACCACUUCUGGUUUCAGGUUCUCCAGACCCAUCCGGGAUGCAGCACCAGGUCACUGAUAUUCCAGAGGGUUCCGAGGAUGCUCCUCUAACAUUUGACACCCUUGUUCAUAAGCACGCACAUUUUUUGAAUGAGAUGAGCAAACUCAAGGUAAGGCUUGUGCAUUAUUUGUACAUUUGGAGAAACUAUUCUGUGACUGCAGCACCAUGUCACAUGCUGACAUGGUGUUACGAGUCCCAGUACACAUGUUAUAAUUUGGAUGGACUUGUAAUACCACGUCAGCAUGCCAUGUGGUGUCAGAGUCACAUACAAGAAUGUAUGGUUUCUAGCAUCUCCCCUCUCCCACUCUUGCACUCCCAGAGUUUGUUACUAAUUAAUUCUGCUUUGAAAGUCGUGGGUGGUAAACCAUAUCUCUCGACAAGCUUGAGUUAUUGAUUGAUAGUCUGACCUUUUUUUUUUUAAUUUUUUAAUUUUUCCUCUGUUUUAGGUGGCUGAUCUUAUUAUUCCACUGAGAGAGCUUGCUCAUAUGGAUGCCAAUGUCGCAUACCAUUUAUGGGUGUUGGUGUUUCCCAUUGUCUGGGUGACCUUACACAAGGAAGAGCAGGUUGCACUAGCUAAACCAAUGAUUACCCUCCUUUCAAAAGAUUAUCAUAAGAAGCAGCAAGGCAGCAGACCAAAUGUUGUGCAAGCCCUUCUGGAAGGGCUUCAGUUGAGCCACCCUCAACCUCGGAUGCCAAGUGAGCUCAUUAAAUAUAUUGGAAAAACUUACAAUGCAUGGCACAUAGCAUUGGCACUGCUGGAAAGUCAUGUUUUGUUGUUCACAAAUGAUGCGAAGUGCUCUGAGUCCCUUGCUGAACUUUAUCGCUUGCUCAAUGAAGAAGAUAUGAGGUGUGGGCUGUGGAAGAAAAGGCCAAUCACUGCUGAAACUAGGGCCGGUCUUUCGCUAGUUCAGCAUGGCUACUGGCAGCGUGCUCAAAGCCUCUUUUACCAAGCAAUGGUUAAGGCAACUCAAGGCACAUAUAACAACGCAAUACCAAAGCCCGAGAUGUGUCUCUGGGAAGAACAAUGGCUGUGCUGUGCUACUCAACUUAGUCAAUGGGAUGCAUUGGUAGACUUUGGCAAGAGCGUUGAGAAUUAUGAAAUACUACUCGACAGUCUUUGGAAAUUGCCUGAUUGGGCAUAUAUGAAGGAUCAUGUAAUGACAAAGGCUCAGGUGGAAGAAACUCCAAAACUUCGGCUCAUACAAGCAUUUUUUGCGCUUCAUGAAAGAAAUUCCAGUGGUGUCGGGGAUGCUGAGAACAUUGUGGGGAAAGGUGUAGAUCUUGCCUUGGAUCAGUGGUGGCAGUUGCCACAGAUGUCUGUCCAUGCCAGGAUUCCUCUUUUACAGCAAUUCCAACAGCUAGUUGAAGUUCAAGAGUCAUCUAGAAUUCUUGUGGACAUUGCCAAUGGAAACAAACUUUCUGGGAAUUCCGUAGUUGGUGUGCACGGAAAUCUGUAUGCCGAUCUCAAGGACAUUCUUGAGACUUGGAGACUGAGAACUCCAAAUGAAUGGGAUAACAUGUCUGUUUGGUAUGAUUUACUACAAUGGAGGAACGAAAUGUAUAAUGCAGUCAUAGAUGCAUUCAAAGAUUUCACGACAACAAAUAAUAAUCUUCAUCACCUUGGUUAUCGUGACAAAGCUUGGAACGUCAAUAAGCUUGCCCGUGUUGGUCGUAAGCAAGGCCUAUAUGAUGUUUGCGUGAUAAUACUUGAAAAGAUGUAUGGCCAUUCAACGAUGGAAGUGCAGGUAUUUAAAAAUAUAACAAAUAUAUUGUAUUGGGCUUAGGAAGACAUCACUCUUACUUUUUUACACCAAUCAAACAAAGUACAAGCAAAAACAUGUGUGUUGAACCUUUAUGGGCAUUUACUACAAGCCUAGAAGACCCUUUAUGAAUGACUUUAUUCUGGGGGUUACUAGCUGAGUUGUUGAAAGCCCUCAAUUUAUGAUUUUUCGUUUCUUGUAUUUGGUUCUUGUAACUUCUAACAAUGUUCAUUAUGUUAACGUAUCAAUUUGAACCUUUUGGAGGUAAUGUUGCAUGAACCUUGUCCUCCUGAGCUUGUGUUUUGUACUUGUUGACUGUACUACGUUAUUUUGGUAAUUUUCUUUCAUAAACUACUUUCGUUUUAAUAGAUGCAGGUUUCUAAUCCCUUUCCGUGUAUGCUACCAGGAGGCCUUUGUUAAGAUAAGAGAACAAGCAAAAGCUUAUUUGGAAAUGAAAGGAGAGCUUGCUAGUGGUCUCAAUUUAAUCAACAGCACUAAUCUGGAGUAUUUUCCUGUGAAACAUAAAGCAGAAAUAUUUCGUCUGAAGGGGGAUUUCUUGUUAAAGUUAAAUGACUCUGAAGGUGCUAAUCUUUCAUACUCCAAUGCCAUCAGCCUGUUCAAAAAUUUGCCUAAAGGAUGGAUAAGCUGGGGAAAUUACUGUGACAUGGUAUUUCAUGUUUGUGCUUCAAAUGUAUUUAAUAAUAUUGGUGUUUUUAUUUGUGAGGGCUUAUCUGCUAAACUAUUUUGCACAGGCUUACAGAGAAACCAAUGACGAGAUGUGGUUGGAGUAUGCUGUGAGCUGCUUUCUUCAAGGCAUCAAAUUUGGCAUAUCUAACUCAAGAAGUCAUCUUGCUCGUGUUUUAUAUCUUCUCAGCUUUGAUACUCCCAAUGAACCUGUCGGGAAAGCUUUUGAUAAAUAUCUUGACGAAAUUCCGCACUGGGUCUGGCUUUCUUGGAUUCCACAGCUCUUACUUUCUUUGCAGAGGGCAGAAGCUCUCCACUGCAAACUCGUCCUACUAAAAAUCGCCACUGUGUAUCCGCAGGUAAAAUGUCCUGUUAUAUUUGUGAAAGGAGAAGAAAUUUAAAACAGUACUUCCCUUCCAACAGAAAUAUUGAUGUUCUCUUGCAUUAAAAUCUCAGGCUCUAUAUUACUGGCUGCGCACGUAUUUGCUUGAACGACGCGAUGUUGCAAAUAAAACUGAACUUGGUAGUAGAAUGGCAAUGGCUCAAAGGAUGCAGCAAAGUGCCUCUGGUGCCAGUGCUGUUUCAAUCGGCUUAGUUGAUGGGAAUGCUAGAGUGCAAGGUCAUAGUGGCAGUAACUUAUCCUCAGACAACCAAGUUCACCAAGCUGCUCAAUCCGGUGGCGGAAUUGGUUCUCAUGAUGGUGGAAACUCUCAUGGGCAAGAAUCUGAAAGGUCCACAGGUGUCGAGAGUGGCAUCCAUACGGGGAAUGAGCAACAAAGUUCUUCAACCAUCAAUGAUGGUGGUCAAAGUGCAUUAAGGCGCAAUGGUGCUCUGGGUUCGGUACCUUCUGCUGCAAGUGCUUUUGAUGCUGCAAAAGAUAUAAUGGAGGCUCUUAGAAGCAAGCAUACUAAUUUGGCUAGUGAACUCGAGGUGUGAUAUUUCCGUCUCAUAUUUAUUAAGUUAAAUAUUUGAUUUACUUUUGUUAUGUAGCAGUUUUACUUUAUAUUUUUUUAUUAGUAAGUCAAUUUUAUUAAUUUUAAUUAGUGGAGAUCGAAACUUUAACUCUUAUACAACUACUGUCUAAGGCAACUCCAUAAAAGAAUCAAAAGAGAGGCUCCAUGUGAUCCAAAAAGACAGGGUGAGCAGAAUGGAAUGCUUCAGGACUCUAAUUGCGGCCUUUGGAUUCUCAAAUCAUCUAAUAAUAUUCUUUUGCAAUUCACACCCAGGGAGCCAUGUGAUAGAACGACCUACUAACAUUCUAUUAAGACAAACUUUUUGUGUUGCUAAGAAGCUAGCCAUACAUAGUAUACCAAAAUGUUUAAUCUUGUUUAAGACUGCUCAUAUGGAGAAAGCAUAUUGAAGAAAAAAAGGAGUCAUAUCUUGGUCUUUUUGAUCAACUAGAUGAUAUAUUUGUUUCUUUUUUCUUUCUGAGUGCAGACUCUGCUGACUGAAAUUGGUUCAAGGUUUGUCACUCUGCCAGAGGAGAGACUUCUAGCUGUUGUUAACGCACUGCUUCAUCGAUGUUACAAGUACCCAACUGCCACAACAGCUGAGGUUCCCCAAUCUCUUAAGAAGGAGCUCUCUGGUGUUUGCAGAGCUUGCUUUUCACAAGAUGCUGUGAAUAAGCACGUUGAAUUUGUGAGAGAGUAUAAACAGGAUUUCGAGCGUGAUCUUGAUCCUGGGAGCACUACUACUUUCCCGGCUACCCUCUCUGAAUUGACUGAGCGGUUAAAACAUUGGAAAAAUGUCCUCCAGAGCAAUGUUGAGGACAGGUUUCCAGCUGUCUUGAAGCUGGAAGAGGAAAGCAGGGUGUUGCGCGAUUUCCAUGUCGUUGAUGUAGAGGUUCCAGGACAAUACUUCAAUGAUCAGGUAAUCAAAUCAGUGUUUGCACAUUUCUGCUCCUAUCAUUGGGAUCCUGGCUUUAUUGUUUAUUCAUUAUGAUUUAACUGAUUGGUCUUCCUGUAUGACUGUCAUUGGAUAAAUGGAGAUGGUAGUAUCCCAAGCUGAUUCUAUCAUGUUAAAUGACUGUCAAGCUUCUUAAAAACAAGCCAGUUUUAUGAUCAAGUUCAUUCAAUAUUCUAUUUGAUUUCUCAAUGCAUUUUCUUAAAUAUAAAAACAUGAUUGUAAUGAUCGCAGGAAAUUGCACCUGACCAUACAGUAAAGUUAGACAGGGUUGGAGCUGAUAUACCAAUUGUGCGAAGACAUGGAAGUAGUUUCCGUCGUUUGACUUUAAUUGGCUCGGAUGGAUCUCAACGUCAUUUUAUUGUCCAGACAUCUUUGACUCCUAAUGCUAGGAGUGAUGAACGAAUAUUGCAGCUUUUCCGUGUGAUGAACCAAAUGUUUGAUAAGCACAAGGAAUCAAGGCGACGCCACAUAUCUAUUCACACCCCAAUCAUCAUUCCUGUUUGGUCUCAGGUUUAUCCCUAUACGCAUUUGAAGGAAUUAGAUUUUAUCUUCCCUCUCUUGUGUGUGUGUGUGGAAAAAGAAAAGGGCAGGAAAUUUGUUCCGGCCAUGUAUAUAAAGCAUGUGUGAUCAUUUGACUUAUCUACAUUUAAUAGUAUAGCUACUCAUACAUAUUCACUUUUUAUAACUCCCGCCUUGAAGACAUCUCAGCAGUUUAUAGUCAGUUUGGGAUUCAGUUCCCCUUGUACUCAACUAUUUCUGUAUGUGCAGGUCCGCAUGGUAGAAGAUGAUUUGAUGUAUAGCACCUUUCUUGAGGUGUAUGAGAACCAUUGUGCAAGGAACGACAAGGAAGCGGAUCUUCCCAUCACCUAUUUUAAGGAGCAAUUGAACCAAGCUAUAUCUGGCCAAAUCUCACCAGAAGCUGUCGUAGACCUUCGCCUCCAAGCUUAUAAUGACAUAACAAGAAAUCUUGUAACUGAUGGCAUUUUUUCGCAAUACAUGUACAAGACUCUGCUAAAUGGCAACCAUAUGUGGGCUUUCAAAAAGCAGUUUGCCAUCCAGCUGGCCCUCUCAAGUUUCAUGUCUCUCAUGCUACAAAUUGGUGGGAGGUCGCCAAAUAAAAUUCUAUUUGCUAAGAACACAGGCAAAAUAUUUCAAACUGAUUUUCAUCCAGCAUAUGAUGCAAAUGGAAUGAUCGAGUUUAAUGAACCAGUACCAUUUCGUCUUACGAGGAACAUGCAAGCCUUCUUCUCCCAUUUUGGAGUGGAAGGUCUCAUUGUGUCUGCAAUGUGUGCUGCUGCACAGGCUGUUGUUUCACCUAAAGUGAGUUUUUUGUUGGCAGUUGCUUUCAGUAUGAGGAUUAAUCAGAUCUAAGUUGAGAAUGAAGAAAGAAAAAGAAAUUAUUUGUAUCCUAAUUCUCAAUUUUCCUGUAUUGCAGCAAAGUCAACAUCUGUGGCAUCAGUUGGCUAUGUUCUUCCGUGACGAGCUGCUGUCUUGGUCUUGGAGAAGACCCCUUGGCAUGCCUAUGGCCCCAUUUGCUGGGGGGGGUAGUAUGAACCCCGCUGACUUUAAGCAGAAGGUCAUCACCAAUGUCGAGCAUGUUAUUGGCCGGAUCAAUGGAAUUGCCCCACAGUACUUUUCUGAAGAGGUAAGUCAGGGCCUCCAAUCUUAUAGUAGCAUAGAGCUUUGUCACUUGCAAUGAUGUCAAUUAAAUGCCCCUCUUGAAAUGAGAAAGAAAAAAAAAUUGCAUUCUUUUCCUUUCCCUUGUCUUUUCAAAUAGACUUCAGGACGAUGGUGGGCUGAAUUUUUUUUUCUUUAAUAUUUUAGGUUUAAUUGGUUUUCAAAUUUGGUUCAGAAUCUGGAAAUGAUUGCUAAUUUAACCGCCCCUAAGAGUGUGUUGUGUUUUCUGCUGCAUUCAGGAGGAUAAUGCCAUGGAACCACCACAGUCGGUGCAGCGCGGAGUGACUGAGUUGGUUGAAGCUGCCUUGACUCCGAGGAACUUGUGCAUGAUGGAUCCGACGUGGCACCCCUGGUUUUGAAGUUAGCACCGGAGGUUCUAGAGUUAAAAAUAUGGUAUAUUUUGCUCGGACGGUUUCCUGUUGUAAAUAUUUAUCGUGUACAUAUCGGUGCUCUUAUAGUGAUUUUGAGAAGUCAUUCCCCAUAAUUAUAUUUUUGACACCCAAUUUGGAAAGAAUUGAGUGGGGUGUUGAACAUGUAAAUCACAAAUUCAUAUGUAAAUCACAUCUAGGAGUAAAGAUUUGGUUCUAGGGUUUUAGGUAUCUCAUUGACGAGGAUCCAUAUAUUAUACAAAUGAAAUGCGUCAUCGUUCCUUUGCAAGGAAUUUUGUUUUUGGUUAAAACUAUUGAAAUGCAGUUACCGUAUUUGAGAUAUCAUUUCUUUGCAGUGAUCUUUUAUAUAGAUAUAUAUUUCCUUUCUGUAAAUGGAUGAAUAUUACCGCAAUGGGUAAAACCAGGGCAACAAAGAAAGAAACAAAGAUCAAGCAAACAAGAAAAGGUUCUUAUUAAUCAACAACAAGAACUACCAAGAACCAAAGGAGAUUUUUUCAGGUUAUGAUUUUCCUACUCUCUUUUUGUCCACUUACUCUCUUUUGUUUGUUAAUAUUUUUUAUUAUAACAAAAAAAAAGUGUAAGCAGAUUGAAGAGUGGGAAUAUACAAUUUCCAACAAAGAGUGUAAAUGCACAAAAGAUGAAUAAGCUCCUUUUUUAUUUUUUAUGAAGUGCUGUUAUUUUCAUCAUGUCCUAUUUCCUCUCCUACCUUGUAAAUUUGAAAAAACAUAAUCUUAUUUUUACACCCACUAUUAUUCUUAAAAUACUCAUCCUCAAAGAGAGGCUUGGGCUUGACUUCCCAUCUCUGCAUUGCCGCCUUCAACCACGUCAAGUCCAACUCCAUCUCUGUCAUCCCCUCCUGUUCUUGCGGCUUUGUCAGUAAACUCUCUCUCUCUCUCUGGGUUUGUGUCAAAAUUUAAUUUCUAUGCCAUUAACAUUGAAUUUUUUUUUGUCUGGUGGGUUUUAUAAUCUGAUUCAUUUCUGGGUCUUUAUGACCAAGACUUUUUUCUCCAGAACUAGAAAUGGUUUGUUUCUUCCUUUUUUGUGUAUGCAUGUUGUAAUUUGCUUCAUUGGCCGAUGAUACUGUCUUCAUAUGUUGUUCAUUAUGACAGACCCACAGUGAGGUCAAUGGGAUCAAAUGACCCUAUGGACUUCAUGAAAGUAAGUUACAAGGUUCCUUUUAAUGGCCGUGUGACUCCAUAAAUGGCUGAAGGAGAUGAUCUAAGGGUGAAGAAGAUGCAGAGCGUGCUUAUGUUUUUUUUAAUUUUUAAAACAUGCUGGGCAAAACGACCAUUUUAGCCUGGCGUUUAAUAUUUUUUUUUAACACGCUGGCCAAAAUGGCGUCGUUUUGGCCUAACCUAGUGAAUUUUUUUUAAAAAGACCUGGCCAAAACGACGUCAUUUUGGUCCAAGUCUUUAAAAAAAAAAAAAAAAAAAAAGAACAGAUUCAAAGAGAACUCUCCCGACUUCAGCAUCUCCAAUCCAAAACUCCCAUUCCUAAACCCUCAAACCUAAAUCCCCAAUCUCCAUCCCCCCAAACCUUUAACCCUCUCCCCCACCAAACCUUUAAGCCCUAGCCCCAGCUCCUCCAAAAAAAUUAAACUUUUACACUAUGACCCUAUGAGAUAAGAGAUAAGAUUCCUGGAUCCGUCCCUGAUUAUGAUGAUAAAUUCAUAGGAAAAUAAAAAUGUUUUAGGGUCUUGACCCUAUGGGGAAAUUUGUUGAAAACGUCAUCUGUGGUUAUAUGUGAUUAUGGAGUGUAAGUGGAUAAAAUUGGAGUGGGGGAAAUCACCACUAAAAAAAAAAGCUAGAAAUUAUAUUUGACUCAUUUCAUAAAUUUCUUAAUAAAUAGUAAUUAAUUAUUUUAAAUUUUGUGGACUCAUUUCAUAAAACAUACUAAUGAUAAAGUAAUAAGGCAUUUAGUUUAUAAAAAAGAAAAUUUUAAAUAUGAUAUUUUGCCACGCGACAUUUCUAUAUUUUUUGAUAUUUUGUUGAUCUAAUUCUACUUUUUUUUUUUUUUUUAAGGAAUCUAAUUCUACAUUUUGGUAAAAUAUAUAAAUAGAAAAAAGUACCAACUGGUCAAAACUAGCAAAGAGUGUUUCAUUCAUUAAAAAUCAGUGAGAACACUGAGAAUUACACACCAUUUGUGGUCAUGAAUAUCAUUUCUAUUGUGGAUCCCGAAUAAAAAAACAAAACUAAGGAAUUACAGAAAAUGACCAAAGCAAAUCCCUCCCUAAACAUGGUUAUCAAGAAAGACAACCAAAACACAUCAGCACUUCAAAACCAGAAUCUUAAUUUUCCUCCUCAAGAAAGCGCAUGUGCUUGCCUUUUGGUGUUGGCAAGCCCUUCAAGCGAAGGGCACUGGGUGAAACAACAGCACCUGAAUCAGGACUCUCUGCUGAAAAGUCUUCUUCAACGAUUUCAAUGUCAUCCUCACUGUCAUACACAAAUCUUGUAUGCUUUCCAGCAAACUUGGGGAUCAUUUUCUUCUCAUCAACACAAAUGUUGUUUAUACCAUCACAAAGCUCAUCAAGAUCAUAGCCUCCAUCCUGUUCAUGUUCUUCAAUUUCAUAACCUUCAUUCAGAUUCAGAUAAUAAUCUUCUUCUUCUUCUUCUUCUUCUUCUUCUUCUUCUGCUUGAGCAACUUCUUCUUCAUCUUCAUCAUGGGUGCUAGCAUUGACCUGAAUUGACCAAAUGGAAGCACUAUCAUCAUCUGGUGAUGACUUCUCUUUGAUUUCAGUAAUCACAGAGGAGCACUCUGAUGAAACAGAGGAGACUUCAGAUUUCUCAGAGAAAUCCAGCAGCAGAGACCGGCUGAUGAUACUCUUUUGUGAUUCAAGGCUUUCUUGAUUCUUUCCCUCAAAGAUGUCACAUACUACCUAUCACAUUUUCAUAAAUAAAAAGAAAUCAGUGAUUUGCACUUUUCAUUUUGGAGGUAAAUGAUUAAAGACCCAAUCGAAAUAUUGUCACCAAAAUUCCAAAUGAAAAUAGGAGAAGAACCCACAUAUAAUCUAGUAUGAAAAAUCUUCAAACACAAAAGGGUUAGAACCCAACCUGAGAAAUCAAUUGUUCUUGGAUAAGUGGAGAAGGCUUCUCGAAACCCACACCACCAUUGUUGCUUCCACUUGCAUCAACAGAGAGAUCAGAGACCUGUGGUGUGUUUGCCGGAGUUGGGGCAAGUAGUCCCAUUGGCGAGUUACCAGUAAUUCCUUGGAGAAGACGAAGAGGGCGGCUUUCCAAUGUGAUCUUUGAGAGCUCGGCCUCUUCCUCCACUUGUUGCAAGAGGGUCUUGACUUGACCCCUCAGCAAGGCCUCUCCGGACCCAGGUGUGUUCUUGGCUCUAAAGCUUCUCUGUUUGACUAUGGCCGAUGAUGGGGUCUCCAAGCUUCCCAUUGCAAGCCCCACAAUCGGAGAAUCAUUGGUUAUAUCAAUCAGGGCUGAUCUGUCUUGCUGUUGCUUCCCAUUUCUUGGUCUUGAUUUCGAUUCAACCUUUUCAGAAUCUUCAUUCUUCCCUGAAAAAAAGAAACCAUGUAUCAGUCAGUAUAGAGAAACCAAAUCUAUGGUAAACCCAAGUAUCAAUAAACCCAUUUUCCGAUCAAAACUCUAUGAUUGUUCAUAUUGAAAAAAGGGGGAAAAUGAAAACGAAAACCAUUAAACCAAGAAACUGAUCAAGACCCAUUUUUUAUAUUCAAAAACUGACUGGUUAUUCAAAAGCAAAGAAAAGAAAAGAAAGUGAGAGAACUCACUUGAAAGGGGAAUGUUGUUGGUGUUGCUGUUUUGAGCAACCAAAGCCUGAGACCUUGUGACUCUUCUGAUUGAAGAUGGGGUCUCCAUUGGAUUUGAAUUGAGAAAUUCGAUGAAAAACGAAAUGGGUCGUCGGAAAACUGAAGGCGAAGCAAACAGUGGACGCCGAAAAUCAAAUUAUUGGAAAGCAAGAGAAAAGUCGAUAUCUUUAGGGCAGAGCUUCGGAGGUUUAUAAAGAGGGUUUGGUGAACGGGGUUCUUAAACGGGAAUGUGACCGUUGGCGCGUGCGGUUCGUCGUAUUUUGACACGUUUGCCAAAACUAGCCGUUGGAGUUUAAUUUGAAUAGCUGUGGCCUCAUCUUUUAUUUUCGAGCAAUUUAAUGGGCCUUGAGAUAGGCCUCAUCAUGAUUUGUGUAAUUAAUUUCCAAGUCUGCCCACCAAUUUGCUUCAUUAUAAUUUUUUUUUUGUUAUUUCUCGUUGAUUGGGAUUGAGAUAGGAGGAAACAUAAAGAAAUAAUAACCAAAAGAUUUUUUUUUUUUUUUGUUAUUCAAUCGAGAUUUCUUACCAAAAAGAAAUAAUAACCAAAUGCAGUUUUUUUUCCCUCCUCUUGAGCUAUUAUACAAAAUGAUAAGGUUAAUAUAUAUAAUUUUUAUAGACGUGAAUUAUGUCAGAUGGGGCCAAGACACUGUACUCACUUUCUUGCACCCUAAUUCAAUCAUCCUUCCCAUAGAAUAGUUUAGUCCACUUUGUCAAAAAGUAGAUACAAUUUUUUUUUUCUUAUGAGAUUAUACAAGUAUAACUUGAAAAUGUCAAUUUGUAUAUACAUAUAUAUAUUUUUAUAUUACAUUCUCAUACCACUUUAUGUGGCAUACGAAGUGAACAUCCGCAUCAAUUAAAAAGUGUCAAUAAAUUAUAAAUGAAAAGAAAAUGUUAAAUUAAUUUUAAUUGAUAUAGAUGUCCACAUCGUCAGUCUCAUAAGGUGGUAUGAGAAUGUAAUAUACAGUCCCCUUCUAUUGAGGGAAUUUACGAAUUUUUUUCCAACGAUCCAAACUAUCUAUUUUUUAAGUCUACAUUCAUAGAUCAUCCUUGCAAAAAAUUAGAGAAAUCGGAAACCUUUUUAACAUCCAAUUGUAUCCUACAAAAUCAAUGAACACGAUACUUCAAGAAAGUACUAAAAUUUCAACAACACAAUUGAGUGGUCAAAUAAUAUCGGAUUCAAAUAAUUUUUUGUAGAGAUGAUAUUUGAAUGAUUAUCUAAAACAUAGACGAUCCGGAUGUCCGCACGUUAUUAUCAUGCAUAUGCUAUUGUAAACAUGCAAGAAAACAGGGAGGGAUAAUACAUAAUACAAAAUACAUAAUGUCCACACAAUAAUAACAUCCGAAUGUCCGCAUAAGAGAAUUUCUGUAUAUAUAUUCUAUACAUGUCAAUAUUGCUUAUAUAUUUGUAUCCAAAGUAUUUCUCAACGGACCAUCCCAGCCCAAGAAUAGGGACGGGCCAGACUUUGACGUUCUGGUGGGUUGGGCCUGUAAGGUGGAGGUAGACUGGGAGUAGUCUGUUAAGAAGGCAAAAAACAAAAAGGAGGAAAAUAUAUUGUGUAAAGAAACGAAAAGAGAAAGUGGGAGGUUGGGAAAGAAAUGAGAAGGAUUUGGUGGCCAGGUGCGCACACAGCUAAGCGCUUAUACUUUAUUUGAUUGGAGGAAUAAGCACAGCUCAUAUUUGUGUGAACAGCCAGAUGCGUACACAAAACCAUAAAAUUUAAUUAUUUAUUGUGAUCCACUCAAGAUUUCCUGCUGAAUCGUCCUCAGUUCUCUUAAUGAGAAAUUAUAGAAUAUUAUGGUAAUAUAGUUAUAUGAUAUAUUUUGUAUACGUAUUAUAAUAUGAGUAGACGACAUGAUUUAUUUUUCUCCUUUUUAAAUAAUAGUAUUCAUAAAUAUCUAAUUAGAUUAUAACACGUAUACAAAAUGUAUCACAUAACUAUACUACUGUAGUAUUCUAUAAUUUCUCUAAUUUGAAUAAACGAAAAUUGUAUAAUAAAAUAAGAAGAUUUUCAUAGUCCGUACAUUGCAACUUGCUAGAUUGAAUUUUGAACGCUGUCGGGAUUAAUUAAGUCACUGUUAGACAAUCUCACUGCUACAUGCAUGAUUAAUAAUACCUACAAGUGGCUUAAGGAAAAAAAAAAACACCCAACAACAUGUAUAUUUUACACGUUCCUACUUCGUUACUGAAGCUCCUUACAACUUUGAGUGGUAUAGCACUUACUGUUGCACAUUAAUUCGGAUAAUAUUUCAUUUUAGUUCUAGGAAACUCUAAAUGAUAUCUGAAAUAUUUUGUAGAUUCUUUUGUAUGUAAACUGAAAAAAGUGAUAUGGAUUGAUCGUUAUGUACAUAUUAUGUCAUCGUGUUUCAAGCAGGGGCGGUCCUACACCUAGGGCAAGGGAGGCUGCUGCCUACCCCAAAAUUUUCAAAAAUAAAAAAUACCCAUAUAGAAUAGGCCAACCCAUGUGAAACAUACAAAUCAAUGCCCACCCUAAACCCAUGUGAAACAUACAAAUCAAUGCCCGCCCAAAAAGUAAGCCAUAUGUAUGCAUAACAUAAAAUUUCUCUUCUCUUUAAUUAUCUUCUCUUUAAUUUCCUACCCCAAAAUUUUAAGAUUUUGUAUAUGACAACAUUGAAUUUAAUAUAUUCUAAAUAGGUUAGAAGUUAUGUGUUCUAAUCUAUUCUAGAGUUUACUUAAAGAAUGAAUUAUAAUUUGCUGACUUUGUUGAAAUUAAUUAGGUCUUUGAUUUUUGGAAUUUUUGUUGAGAUAUUUGAUUUGAUAUUGGUAUUUUUGAGAUGUUUUGAUUUGUUGGUAUGUUAAUGUUUGAUUAAAGGAAUUGAUGUUAUUAUGAGAAUUUAUUUGAUUUUUUUUGUUGAGAUGUUGGAUUAAAUAGGUUAUCUUUUGUUAUGUCAGAUUACAAUCCGAAUCCCAAGAAAAUGAAAAAUUUAUUGGAAAUUUUUUUUAAAGAAAAAUAAUAGUUUUUUUCUCGCUAUAUUUUUAUUUAUGUAUAGAGAUGCAUUUGAGAGUAAGGCUUAUUAUGUCUUCUUACUGGGUGUAUAAUUUUAUGUUUAUUAAUAAGAUUCACUCAUAACCUCAAGUUUUUAAUGUAAGUUUGCCCAGUUGAAUUUCAAAUUCUGAAUCCGCCACUCGUUGCAAGUGAAGUUGCUUUGUCAAGGUGUUAUAUGAGAAAAACUACAUCAUCUAACAAAUAAAAUACUCAUCGAACAACAAACAAACUCUAAAAUAAUAAUAAUAAUAAUAAUACUUUUUAUUAUAAGAAUGAAUACAAAAAAGAAAGCUUUUAUUUUACAAUUCAAUUCAUUUCUCAAUAAAGAGAUAAUUAACAAGUGUGUGAACUUUAUUCUGGUGGAAAACAACCCAUAUUUAUAGAUAUAUGGGAUUUUUUGAAAUGAAAUGAUUAAUGGAAUUAAUUAAGGGCAUUUUCGGGUUUGAUUGCGGGUGGUGAGGCUAGCAUAGCAAGGACAAGCCUCAUAGUUGCCAGCAGUGCCUGGAGGAACACAGCUACACUUGUCACAGCAACUCCCACAAGCCCUUUUGCACAGACGAGGCCUUGAUGAUAAUUUGCACCUUCCUUCACAUGCCACUCCGCAAUCUGCACGAUUAUUUUCAUCAUUUGCAUAAUAACAUAUAUUAAUUUCGUAUAAAUUAAUAUACAUAUUUACGUUAUUAUCGUACGAACGUCACGUAUUUUUUAUUACCUUCUAUACAGACGUUCGCAUAGAAGAAGAAUUUAUAUACAGAUUUUCUGUUAUGUAUUAUCAAAUCGUAAUAUACAUACCUAGGGUGGGCGGGGGUAGGGGGCUCGGUGCUCCAUUGUUGUUCAUCUGAAAAUAGUGUAAAGCACAAAAGUUAAAAAAAAACUUGAACCCAAAAAAAAAGAAAAAAAAAAAGAAAAGGAGACAUGGAUAUUACCAUGUGGGACUGAUGAGCUGCUUCAGUGAGAUAUUGGAGAACCAGAAAAGAGAAAACAAGGGAAGCCAUCAUCAGGGUUAAUCUUGAUGACAAGGCCAUAUUAAUUAUAUUUAUAUAGAAAAUAGCUAUAGCUAUAGCAGCUAGUAGAGAGAGAAGAUAAUUGGGAUGUUGUGAAAUGAGAGAGAGAUCGGAGUGAGUAUUUAUAGAGAGAUUGAUCAGAAAAGAGGGGGCGGGGUGGUGCAUGGAGUGGCAGUAGGGCGCAUGCCUGUCUCCCUAAUAAUAUAUUGCCACUAGACCAUUAUAUUAUUUUAUUUUAUUUAUGCUAAUUUUCAGUCCAAAGGGGUCUCAGCCGAAGUCAAACUGCCAGACUGCUCCCAACUCAUCAUAUUCAAGAUUAGGGGAGAGAGAGAAAGAGAGAGAGAGAGAUGUGUAUGGAUUAUGAUUGGCAAUAUUGGAGAGGAGUGGUUAAUAUUAUUGGAACACCGACAACUCAUAACUUGUGAAGUUGACAAGAAAGGAAGAAGCUGAGAAGAAAUGUUGUAUUCAAAAUGCAUCGACAGACGGGUGGAUAGUGAUAUCGACAGACGAGUGGAGCUGUUCUACAAUUCAACUUUGUUUCCCAAUCCCCGGUGCCAAAAGCAAAUGAAACAAUACUACUGUAAUACUUUGUAUAUAUAAGCUAGCUCCUCACACAGCACUUGAAGUCGUUGCUGCUUAUAUAAUUUAAAUCCGUAAACUCGUAAGUUUGUAACUCAAGUGAUUAACAACAUUUACGCUUUUCCUUAAUGAAAUCAUUGCUGCUUCUAUAAUUUAAACCGAUAAACUCCUAAGUUUGUAACUCAAAUGAUUGUGGGUCAACUCACUCUACAGAAAUUUGAUGUCGGCACUGUUUGACUUUGCUGUGUGAAACAUAUAUGGGCCAGCCCACUAUACUGAUCUUUUCUGCUUUUCUGCUUUUCUGCUCUGUUAUUGCUCAUACAUAGUGGGCCUCUUGUAAAAGCCCUGUUCUGUGGUGGAGAAAAGACACACAGGAAAGAUGUGGCCAAUUUUUGUUUGUCUGCUUUUAUUUUGAAUACAAGAAUAUUAAUCUAAUCUAAAUUAUGAGAAGGGGACGUUCUAACUAACUUGAGUAUGCCUAAAUAUAAUAUAUAUAUAUUUAUAUAAUGGUCCUAGUGGCAAUAUAUUUUAGUGUUUGCUUAUUAGAGAGAGCAUAAUAAAUUUAUACCUCAAAUUCAUGUGUUGUUAGGUCUUUACCAACUUUAUUUGAGAGUUUGAAUAAAUUAUUCGCUACCUAAAAGAGCUUGUUACUCUAACAAACCCUUCAAACUUUAUUGCUCACUCUUUAGACUAUGUAUACGUAUUAUAUUAUUAUUAUCACACUCUAAUUUUAUUCUUUGAUUUUUUAGAUAUCACAUCAAAAGAGCUUUCCUUCUUUUUUUCUUUUUUUCUUUUUCUUUUUCUAAUGAAAAAGUGACAUGCGGAUGCGGGGUCUAUAUUAUGUGGUGCCGUUUUAUCAGCAAAUUUGUUAUGGGUUGGUCUGGGUUGGGGCUAGCUAGAAUUCUAGGUGGCACAGUGACUAAAAUGAACCGUGGAAUUUGAGUUUGCAUUGUUUUGAUAUCUUGUUUAUUAUAGAUUUAGGCCGAAUUUUAUCAUGAAAUAUUAUUUGUGAUUUCUGAGUUCAUCCCACCUGAUAGCCAAAAACAACAAAUUAGGAAUUGAGCUGCUUGGUUGAUUAUUUGCUUUGAACCCUUUUAUAUAAGAAGAACUCUUUAAGGGCUCGUUUAGUAUAUUGGAUUAUUUGCUUUGAACCCUUAAAAUAUAUAUAUAUAAAAAGGAAACAUCGAACACUUUCUACUCCUCACCUAUCGUUCUUAAAUAAAAAAUAAAAAAUUUAUCCUCCAAAAAAAGUACUUUCUUCAUUCAAAACAAAACAAAAAAAACCUCAUGACUUCUUCUUUCUCUUAAACUCUGAUUUUCGGACCACCAAAAAGUAAGUUAGCAAAUGAGGGAUAUAAAGAUUGGAUACAUCUUAGUGGCUGACUUAAAGAGCAUGAGACAAGUAUUGAACAUAUCAAUCAUAUGAGCACUUGGAUUGAUUUUCGUAUUAUAUUGCAAGAAAAAAAAAAACAAUUGAUGGAGUUGUUCAAAACCGAAUCAAGAAAGAGAAAGAGCAUUGGAGGAACUUAUUAAAAAUAUUAAUUUCAAUUGUGAAAUAUCUCGGAAAAUAUAGUUUGGCUUUUCGUGCAAGUAAUGAGAAGAUCCACGAUAUUAACAAUAGAAAUUGUAAAGGAGCCACUAGUAUAGUGGUUUGGAAUAUUUACUCCCUCAAGCAAGGUUCGAGUCCUAGCAUCCGUGUUUUGUGUGUAAGUUUAAUAUGUUAUCGCCCCUUUCAAUAGGAAAGGUCCUCAAAAAAAAAUAAAAAAAUAAAAAAAUUUAUAGGGCAAGUUGAAAUAAUUGCAGAGUGGGAUCCAGUUAUGAAGAGCAUGUUCGACGUAUGGAUGAUAAAGAGACUCAUUAUCUUAGCUAUAAGAUUCAAAAUGAAUUGGUAUAUUUGUUAGCUUUUGAACUCAAAAGUGCAAUCAUUAAAAAGAUUUAAGAAACUAGAUAUUUUUCUAUGAUUCUUGAUUGUACUCCAGAUGCUAGCAACCAAGAACAAGCGAGUUUGAUAGUAAGAUGUGUGGAUGUUUCUACUAAUCCAAUAAAGGUUGAAGAAUUUUUUUGAAAUUUUGGAUUGUGAUUGAUGCAACAGGACAAGGACAUUUUGAAAAGUCGCAACUUGAUAUUGAUAAUGUGAAAGGACAAAGUUAUGACAAUGGAUCAAAUAUGAGUGGGAAAUACCAAGGUGUCCAAAGAAAACUUUUGGAUGUAAAUCCUAGAGCAUUGUACACACCUUAUGGUUGUCAAAGUCUUAACUUAACACUUUGUGAUAUUACAAACUCUUGUGGAAAAGCGAAAGGCUUUUUUGUAGUCAAACAACGUAUUUAUACAUUGUUUGUUGAUUCUACAAAUCGGUGGAAGAUGUUGAAAGAUAAUAUUAAACACUUAACUCUGAAAUCGUUGUCAGUUACAUGUUGGGAAAGUCGUAUUGAAAGUGUAAGAGCAAUAAGAUUCCAAGCUCCAUAUUUAAGAGAAGCUUUACUUCAGCUAGCAGAAAGUGGCGGUGACUCCAAAAUAACAAGUGAAGCUAAUUCUUUGGCAACAUAUGAACUUGAAAAUUUUGAGUUCUUAUUGGGGAUGGUUAUUUGUUAUGAUAUAUUAGGUGCUGUCAAUGUAGUUAGCAAAAACUUACAAUCUGUAGAUAUGCUUAUUGAUGUUGCUAUUGAUAAAGUGAAAGGGUUGAUUACUUUUUUUUGAAAAGCAUAGAGAAAAUGGGUUUACAAAAGCUAUGUGUACUGCUAACGAAAUUGCUACUAACAUGGGAAUUGACCCGGUGUUUCCUGAGAAGCGAAAAAGUUCGUAGAAAAAAAUAUUUUGAUGAGACUACUGGUGAGCCAUCCCAAUCAGUUCCUGAAUCAAAUGAAGAAAUGUUUAGAAUUGAUUAUUUCUUAUAUGUAGUGAAUUAAGCUAUUGGUUCUUUACAAAGAAGAUUUCAACAAUAUCAAGAGUAUGAUAAUAUUUUUGGGUUUUUGUUUACUUCAGAGAAGUUAAAUUCAUUGGAUGACUGCGAUUUGAAGAAUUAUUGCAGUCAUCUAGAAAGUAUUUUGAAAAAUGAUAAGUUUUCUGAUGUCGAUGAGGAGGAUUUAUUUGUUGAGUUGAAAGUUUUACGGAGGGUUUUACUAAAAGAAAAUAUCACAGCUACUGCAAUAUUAAAUUUCUUGAAAAGAUUAAAUUUUUUUCCAAAUGCAUUCAUUGCAUACAGAUAUCUAUUGACUAUGAAUGUUACUCUUGCAUCUGCAGAAAAAAGUUUUUCAAAAUUAAAAUUAUUAAAAUCAUACUUGCGAUCAACUAUGUCGCAAGAAAUAUUAAACGGACUAGCUUUGAUUUCAAUUGAAAGUGAACUUCUAGAAAAAGUUGAUUAUGAACCUUUGAUUGAUGAUUUCUCUUCUAAAAAUUCAAGAAGAUCAAUUUUCAGACAUUAGGAUUGUAAUGGCUGUGUUUUUUUUUUUUUCUUUUGGGGAAAAAGCUCUUGUAAUAGUUUUAAUUCUUCAAAUAAAGAUAGCAAAUACAAUGUGAAUGAUUUUUUGGUAGUCAGGUAUGUUUUUGUUGUUGCUUUUGUAUUUAAUGCAAUAUAAUCUAAUUUGUUAAUGACAUAUGUAUGCAACUACUCUUUAAUUUGUGAUUGCCAAAUUUUUUAAUUAAACAAAUUGCUUAUUGGAGACAGAAAGGACCUUAUAGGGGCACAAGGAGAUUAUUUUUGUACCAAACAUUUAACCUUAUCAAAUGAAAAUAUUUAAAUUUUUAUGAAUUUGAUUUCUAAUUGUCAUUACAUAUUUAUUGAUGGUGACUUUUAGUUAUAAAAAAAUUGUUUAUGACAUUAAGUUAGGACAAAUUUUUAUUUAUAGUAUUUUCGUAUUAGAUUAUGUGAGGCUCCAAUUUAAAUUUCGCAUGGAGCCCUUAAAAUUUCAGAGACAACCCUGUUCGCAGGAAAAAAAAGUAUCUCCUUACCAGUAAGAAGACAAGCAAUAUCCAUCAAGUAAUGACACUUUGGUGAGUCAAAGUGGGGUUCCGUCCAAGGAAUGACAGUCAAAACAAUAGCUUAAAAGGCAAUGGAAUAGCAAUACUUACAUGGAAAUCCAGCUACCUAUGAUAUUCAAAGAGAAAGCGCACUCCUCUAUUUAUUCUCACAAGAAGAAGAGCUAGUGAAAUGGACCAUUUCUUCAUGUUAGCAGAGGAAAGAAAAGAGGCCCACUGUGAGAAGAGAGAGUAAUUCAGUUGCUAACAAGCGCAGGUUUUUCGUUAAAUGGUUGGUGACUGACUGGUGGGUGAGAAGUGGGACAAAACCAAAGUCAUAUAUCAUGAUUCAUCAUGACCACCAUUGCAAUAUUAUUGUAUGUAACACAACAAAGUGGUGGGUAGGCACGUGCAUGGCUAGCUCAUACAUACUAUUACAUACAUAAGAGUCUUAUGACAACACUAGUUAGGUGAAGAUCACGUGACGCGACUUCAGCCCACACAACCUGUUGCUUUUUCUCAAUUCUAAUUCUUCAAUUAAAUCUUCUUUUCAUAUAUUUUAUUAUAUUUAGUUUAGUUUAUCAAGUGGCGGUCAAAUCUUCCCAUCGGAUUUUAUGUUCUCUUGCUCCAUUUUCCACUUUUGUCAGCUGAAUGCUCAACCAAUCUACUCCCAAUGGUUUGAUUGACCACACCAAAAUCCCCUUUCCCUUGCUCCUCUGUGAACGGAACUUGCACAUCUGCUGAAAAAUUCUUGAGUUUACAGACGUAUAUAAUUAAGAUGUCGCCAAAAAAGUUUUACUCAUAAUUAUUAUUUAUUAUUAGAAUGGCUCCCUUUAUAAUUUCCGUAAAAAACUCAAUACAAAAUUGGCUACACAGCCAUCAUUGCAUUUAAUAUUUACCCCCAAGAAAGAUUGUGACAUUCUAUUUCGGUCCAAGGCCUUGUAUGGUUUGUACAAGUGACGCGAUGCAUGAUUUUUAAAACAACUCCAAAUCUCCAUACAUGGACGCAUCAAAUUACUUUAUAUACAUAUAAUAAAAUGAAUUAAUUUGUACAAAAUUCUUCUGAAAUUAUGUACAAUCUGUGUGCUUGAAACCUCCUAAUAAAAAAAUUAAAACAAAGAAAGCCAAAAGGGUUUGGUAGCUGUGCAGCUAAUGAGACUGUAAGAGCUCACUCACGAGCCAUGAGGUAGUUGGAGCGGUCCCCUUAAUUUUAACACUUAAAAACUCAAUUUUUAUUUUUUUUGUCAAUAAAAACUCAAUAUAUAAAUCACACGCCCUAAACAACAAUUUAAACAUCAAAUUCCUUUUCUCUCCAACACCAAAACCACACAAACAAACAGACCUAACACAUUGAACAAGCAUGGCUCCUGCUACUACUCUCACCUCCAUAGCAGGGGAGAAAACCCUGCAACAAAAAUUUGUCCGGGACGAAGAUGAGCGCCCCAAGGUUGCCUACAACAACUUCAGCAAUGAAAUCCCGAUCAUUUCGCUUGCCGGGAUCGACGAGGUGGAAGGCCGCCGGGCUGAUAUUUGCAAGAAGAUUGUGGAGGCUUGUGAGGAUUGGGGUAUUUUCCAGAUUGUUGAUCAUGGAGUUGAUACCAAGCUCAUCUCGGAAAUGACCGGUCUCGCCAGAGAGUUCUUCGCUCUGCCCUCGGAGGAGAAGCUUCGUUUUGACAUGUCCGGCGGCAAAAAGGGUGGUUUCAUCGUCUCCAGCCAUUUACAGGUAACCCAAAAUAGAAUUCACGAAUCACAACUCCGAGUCUCUUGCUUUGAUUGAUACCAUAAUAGAAAAAAAAAAAAAAUAUAUAUAUAUAUAUAUAUAUAUAUAUAGACGGAAGAUUAAUUUUUAUUUUAAACACGUAGUUUAUUACUGUUUUUGAAAACUUAAGCCAUUGAAUUAUGAUUUUAGGUUUUAAUAAGAUUUUUGAAAGCUGAAGCUGUUAGAACAUGAACGGGUCAUUGUUUUAUAUUGUAACACAUUUGGACUAUAAUUUUAGGGAGAAGCUGUGCAAGAUUGGCGCGAAAUUGUGACAUACUUCUCAUACCCAAUCCGGCACCGGGACUAUUCGAGGUGGCCGGACAAGCCGGAAGGAUGGAGAGAGGUGACACAGAAGUACAGCGACGAGCUGAUGGGGCUGGCAUGCAAGCUUUUGGGGGUGUUAUCAGAAGCCAUGGGACUGGACACAGAGGCAUUGACAAAGGCGUGUGUAGACAUGGACCAAAAAGUUGUGGUCAAUUUCUACCCAAAAUGCCCCCAACCCGACCUCACCCUUGGCCUGAAGCGCCACACUGACCCAGGCACAAUUACCCUUUUGCUCCAAGACCAGGUUGGUGGCCUCCAGGCUACCAGGGAUGAUGGGAAGACGUGGAUCACCGUUCAACCAGUGGAAGGAGCCUUCGUGGUCAAUCUUGGGGACCAUGGUCAUGUGAGUAUUUAUGAUUUACAUUGUCACUUAAAUCGAAUUAAUUAUAUUAUACAUAAUUUACUGUCACAUUAUAAUGUAGAUAUGAGUUACGUCAAUUUGAUCUACUUUUUCGUACGUUAUCAUGGUGGUAGGCAGUGGUCAUUUUAUUUAUGUGAAUAAUGGUGAUAGGGACCUAUGUUUAUAUCUUCCUUAUAUUUAGUAGUUUGUUGAAAUAUUGAUUAUGAAACAAUGAAAAUGACACGUGUACAAUUGCGCGUGUUGUUGGGAGUCCAAUGUAACAUAAGAAAAUGUAUAUUGUUUAUUUUCGCACGCAUAUAUAAUUAGAAAUCACUCACAUCCGCAUAAACGAGUAACAUUCUUUUAUUAGUAUUCAUUUCUCUGAAUUAAUUUAUAGCAUUUAUGGAAAAUAAAAUCACGGGUUUGAGUCAAUUUAAUUGAUUGGUUUUGUACACAAUUGUAAUGUGAGCAGUUUCUGAGCAAUGGGAGGUUCAAGAAUGCUGAUCACCAAGCAGUUGUGAACUCAAACAGCAGCAGGCUGUCCAUAGCCACAUUCCAAAACCCAGCUCAAGAAGCUACAGUCUACCCACUGAGCAUCAGAGAGGGAGAGAAGCCCAUUCUAGAGGGGCCAAUCACCUACACAGAGAUGUACAAGAAGAAGAUGACCAAGGACCUUGAGCUUGCCAGGCUCAAAAAGCUGGCCAAGGAGCAACAAUUGCAGGACUCGGAGAAGGAGGGCAAGCCAAAGGAUGAUAUUUUUGCUUAGCCACCUCAGUUUCUCUCAAAGCUUGCUCUUGUUAUGCUACUGGAUACUUGUACCUUUGCCGUCUAGUUCUUCUAUGUGCUUAGCCAGUGGAUGAUAUUUUUGCUUAGCCACCUCAGUUUCUCUCAAGGCUUGCUCGUGUUAUGCUACUGGAUACUUGUACCUUUGCCUUCUAGUUCUUCUAUGUGCUUAUAUAUGCAAUUUGCUUAAUUUGUGUGUUUUGGGGCGUUGGAAAAGUUUGGUCAAUUUGUGAGUCAAUUUGUGAGUCAUAUUUUAUGUUAAAUUAAUAGAAAAAUAAUUU
rnacentral:lncRNA from 1 species